UUUUUUUUUUUUGCAUAGGGUCAGAGUCAUACGGCCGGCAUUUUUUUUAGGGAAGAGUCAUACGGCCGGCUGCCUCUUCCUUGUUGGUCCUCUCGGGUCUUGGCCCACCACGAGAGUACAGCGCACUAUGCCGGGAAGAUGACCAGGGGCGCGCCUCCCGACGCAACUGGGACUUAAUAAAAGGCAGUCUGGUCAGGUCCAGCGUCAAAUCCGCCGCGCACUGGGUCCCGCCUCGUCACUCCCUCCCAAGCUCCCCGACUUCUUUUUGUCAAUUUUGGGGCUGUUUGGUUUAGCAUUAGCAUUGUCAUACUUUGCCACAUAUUUUUGUCAAACUUGCCUAAGGUUAGUUUAUCAAAAUGAGAGCCACAAGUUGGCAGGCCUAAGGAAAUUUUGCCACAUUUUUUUUAUGUAUGUCGUGUGGGAUCCAAAUGUGGCUUGCCUAAGGUGUGGCUUGAACCAAACACUUACUUAAGUUGGUCAAAGUUGCCUAAGCUUAGGCGUGGCAAUCUUUGACAAAGUUAGUCACAAACCAAACAGCCCCUUUGUUCCGCCGUCUCUCCCAGUCUCGCUCGUAGCUUCGCAGCCCACCCGGCCAACAACCCUCGCCGGCGAGGCGCACCGCGCGGGAGCCAAAUGGCCGCGGCGGAGGCCGCGGCCGAAGCGGCGGCCGAGGCUUUCUCCAUACGGUACCCUACUCUUGUCUUGCCUCCGCUUGUUUUCUCGGGACACGCGGCCGAUGCAUGCUGACCUGUUCGACCGAAUGCCGCAGGGGGUUCGCCGCCAGGAUGCGGGCCGUGGACGCGGCCAAGUGCUGGCCAUUCGGAGGCUCCGAGGACGACAACUCGGAGACGCCGCAGCUCCCGCCAAUGGACCCGACGCCGCGGUCGCGCUGGUGGGCCGACGAGCUUGCGGCUUUGCGGGCGCGGCCGGCUGUCUGCGCUGCGGGCGGAGACUUCGCCGUGGGUGGCGGCAUGGGAGAUGGUUUGGGGAAGGCGACGAAGAGGAAGGGAUCUCGCGGGAGCGGCGGUGCCGAGAGGGCUAAGAGGCGGCGGAGAGCGCUCCAAUCUAGCUUCUUUUUGAAGCACAAGGUACGCGGUUGGUGCCCCCGCUUUGCUUGCCCUUCCCCGAGUAUUCGCUAGCAGCCGUUCUCUGGGUUCAACUUCAUAUAUGAUGUUCAGUUUAGUACUAGCUUUUAGGAAGGCCCUUGUCACAUUGGUAAUUUAAUGUCAUUUGCUUGCUCUAUGUUUCUGCUUGUAGACAUAAAGAGUGAACACAAUGCGUCCAACAAGACCCACAUUAUGUAGCACCGCGGUUAAAAUUUCUGCUGCAAUGUACCUGUUUUAGCCAUUUGAAGGUGGACAUUGGAAGUAGAUGUUUAAUCCAUAGGAUUUAGAGGUAGUAAUCCAAUACCUUGAUUAAUUGAACGAAAAACCACACCCUGCAUCGCCCUCCCCGGAAGGUGGUGGCCGGGCUUGUUCUGGCCCGCAGCAACGGCGAAGGAUAGGUCCACGAGCGGCGGCUUGAGCCGACAGGGGCUUGGUGCUGGCGGUUGGCCGCAUUGGUGGUCCGUCAGCCGACAGCUCCCCAUCGGCGCAACAUCAGGACCUGUCGCCGGUGUCUGUAUGGCAAUGAAGGCAUGGUUCCUGCUCCCUCGGCGGCCGGGGUGAUACACGGCAAAUAGGGGUGGCCUGAUCUUCAUGAUUGGACAGGGAUUCAUGGAUGAACAUGAGGAAUAAGGGAGGAUUAAGAGGGACACACGCAAGGAUAAGGUUCACAACAAAAGUACUAACUCAAAUCGUAAGGUCAAUGCAAGAGGAACCUCAAGAUCCAAUAACAAGCAAAUGAAAGAAAAAACAUGGCGGUAGUUCAUCCCUAAAUCUCCAUGAGAAAUGGAGGGCUUGAGAGAUAGUUCGUCCCUAAUUGGAAGAGAGGAGGCGUUGUAAUCCAGAAGGAUUCAUCUCCACAUACAGGUCUUGUAAGCCGGUUGGAUUCUUCUCUGCAUAGGACGCCUUGAUCAUCCCCUUGGGGUAGGUAGAUUGAGCAAAGCUCUCCCAAGUUCUUAGUGUAUACUUUGCUAACACUAGAUCUAUUGAGGGGCAUGGUAUUUAUAGUCUAGGACCGAAAGGGUACGGGGAGGAGAUACACGGGCGCUGCCCAAAAAAUGUGCAUAAACAGUACUACCGGACAAUCCAGGUUGGGGGCGGAAAGUCCGGUUGUGCUAUCCUUUGGCGCCAUUUUGCACUGCUGGACAGUCCGGGGCGCAGGGACCAGACAGUCCGGACGUGGAGGUGUAGUUGCACGUUCGGAGAAAUGACUGGUAGUCCGCGAAUUCGUCCGGAGGAAAUAUACGGUUUUUGGUUUUCGUCCGGUGAUUCCCAGACUAUCAGCUGGAUUCGUCCGGGCAAAACAUAGACGUUUUGGGGUCACGCAGGUGGUUGCCGGACUGUCUGGUAGUACACCAGGAACACUUCCCUCUUUUCCUUUCCUUCUUCCUCGAGUCUUCGCUCCUCACUUGGGUCUUGGGCUUCUUACUUGCUUCUCCUUGGUACUUGCCUUUGUACCUAAGCAUGCAUAAGGUGUCGGCUUGAGGUAGUAGCCAGAUCUCAUUCAAACGCAAAGGUAGCUCAAAGAGGAGUGAACUCACCUUGGUUUAUAUAGCGUGUACACGAGCUCUUGUCAUUGGUCAACUUGGCCCUGGCGAUGAAUCCAUGGUGAUGUCGGUGGGAUGCUCCUCAUCAUGUUGUGGCGCUAGUCCCUGCUAGGGCAUUGAUGUGUGGGUCCUCUCCUCCCCGCUGCCAUCGCCUAUGUCGGCGGCGGGGUCUCUCAGCCACCUCUCUCAUCCACAAUUCCCUAUUGUCUCGUCUCUUGAGCCGAACAGAACGCGCCAAUGUUGGCCUGGGAUUCCUGGGACUUUGGCUUUCCAGAGUGGUGCCUGCAGGUGGUCCAUGAGGUGUGCUUGGUGUGUGGUGGUUGUUUCGGCUGGCCAUGUGGGGUUGGCCAGCGUCUGGAAGGGGGUAGUCGAUGGUGUUGUUGUCGUGGUAGGCUCAUGUUGGACUUAAUGCUAGGCGUAUGGUGGCCUCUGUCGCCGGCGUGGUGUGCGAACCAGGUUCUUGGGCUAACACUAUUGUAGGCAGUGUCAGGGUUCUAUUGAUGGCUCAUCAUGGAGUUGCGCCAUUGCGUGUGUUAUUGCCGCGGCGCUUCAGGCGAAACCCUGCUUGAACUUGUCGGUGUCGGAGAGGAGGGCUGCCCUCGAGCAUCGUCUGAUUGGUGGUGUCAUCUAGGAGCCCACAUUCACCCCCAACCCUUGUGAUCUGGUUCCCUGAGUGAAAAACAUGAUUUGGCUUGCCAAAUCAAAUUAUCGUGGCGCAGAUGACAUUGCUCCUUUGUUCUAAGCGUUGUUCUUAGAGGUCUGACCCUAGCUUAGUGCGUGAACCGGUGACACUCGCCUUGACUCUAGCUGGUAGAAUCUAGGUGCGCCUACAAGGCUGCAACAUGCAAAUGCGGUUACCUUGGACGUCAUGGGUAGUGAGGAUCGCGGAGGAUGGGUCCCGUGUCGUGGCGUCUUAGAAGCAUGGGGCCACACGACAAGUAUCGGCUGAUGAUUGCAGGCGUAGGUUGCGACCAACGAGGGAUAUGACGAGGUGUGGUGAUGUAGCAUUCAAGACGGCAGCAGCGAUUCUACGGCCUUGGCACCGUUGUAGUGUGAGGCGGGCGGUCCGUGACACCAUCAACUUUUGCCUUCUCUAAUUUGGGAGGGGCCCAUUUCCCCCCUUCUCUGCUAAGUUGGAUUCUCUCUUCUCGUGGUGGGAGAUGCAUCAUGUGCACUUUUAUGGAUGGUUGCUAGGCCAGGGUUUGUUUUGUGGUCCCGGUUGUAAUGUUGGUCCAACAGACGGUCUUGUGUUGAGUGGCUAGUUGUUUUGGCUUAGUCUUAGGCUUGUACAGUUGUAACCAUAUUCUUUCUAUCCGUUCAUUGAGGGGCAAGCUUUGUGUGUUCCCGGAAAAAAAAUCUACAGAAUUUAUGUUCCCGUUCUUUUGAGGGUAGAACAGGCCAAUGGUGCAUAUAGUGUGUAUUUACCUACUUCAUGAACUGUAGAAAGGAAUAAGCUAGCCUCCCAGACCACUUACUGCCUUUGUAAUGCCCCGACCAAACCCACUAGUUCCUGGUCAUUGCGCCUGGGAUCUAGAAUGGCCCCAGAGAACUAGCCAGAGUGAGGACAAAGUUGUGUUCAAGGAGGGUGUUAUUUAUUUACCGUUGCUGGCUAUGAUGCCAUUUCAUGGUGAAUUUUGGUCAAUUAAGCUACUGACAUGGCAGAAUUACCUCAAAAUUUUGACUGCCCUGUGGUGUUGACAUGCUUUUCUAAGUUCAAGGGGUCUAAUCUCUGGUUUUUCAUCAAAGUGUAGUUUUGAUUUUGUUUUGGGCCUAUUGUAAGAUUAGAGAAUCAUGGUUUCUAGGACUGGUAAGUUACAUGUUCUAGAUUUAGGUUAGUUAUCCACAUUUACUUUUCCAUAAUUUUAAACAUGCGCGUUGCUCUUUCUUUGAAAACAUGUACAAAGAAACAUUGAAAGUGCAUACCACAUAGUAUUAUUUAUUGGUCGGAUUACAUAGAAGUUCUAUUGACUAACCACCUAAUUCCAUGUUCGAGUUUCCUCUACAUAGUCAGCUUACCUUGUUAUUCUCAGCUAAUAAUAUGUAAGAUGUUUUCUUUAACAGGAGAGAACCUCUAAACUCCAACCAGCAUCUCGCUUACUUCAACGCAUGUUCCAUAAGGGUUUGUUGAGAAAACGAAAAGGCUGUACUAUUCCUACACUAAGAGAACUCAUUAUGAGGAAGAAAUUGCAAGAGCGACAGGAUCAGAUGUCAACCCACAGAAACAGCUUGAAGAAACAGUCCGUGAGAGGAAUGGAUCACGAACGAAGCAUAAAAAUCAGCAGGCCAACUGAUUAUCCUGUAAAUCUUGGCUGUGAAGUAGUGAAGCAUGUUGCAUGCCCACCCAAGGAUGAUAUUUUUGGAGAUCUACCUCUUUUAGAAAGCUCAAAAGUUAUGUUUCAUACUGGAGUUGACAUACUCCCUACUAUUAUAGAAGAUUCUUUUGUAGAAAAUCAAAAUGGGCCAGAUGCCAUAUCAGAAACUGAACCAUUGGAGCUAAUGCCUAUUGCUGACAUUUCAAAGCAAACAUCACCCCCCCUUGAAGACUCAGUGAAGAAGGAACAGAGUCCUGACAAAGGGUCAACAUGCAUCUUACUCAAUGAUGCAGGAAGGAGUCAUUCUUCCCCUGCUGAGUUUGAUGGUCUGCUAAAUCAUGCUAGUGUUACCAUGGCGAAAACUUCUCUUCCUGAAAUGCAGCUGAAAUCUACCAAUGUUCCUGCUUUAAGUUCUUAUUGUAACGAGGGAGCAAAAUCUGGUACUAGCAACUGUGCACAGGGUCGUUUCAACACAAACACAGACUGCUUUCAGGAAAUGGAAAGACCUGGUACCAGUUCAGUGGCCGUGAGAACCAGAACUGAGGCAGUUAAAAAAGAAGAUGCAGCAAUCCAUGGUGUAAACAAUGCAAGUGUCACCAUGGCGAAAACUAGUCUUCCUGAAAUGCAGCUGGAAUCUACUCAUGUUCCUGCUUUAAGCUCUUGUUCAGAGGCCAUGAGAACCAGAACUGAGGCAAUUAAAAAAGAAGAUGCAGCAGUCCAUGGUGUAAACAAUGCAAGUGUCACCAUGGCGAAAACUAAUCUUCCUGAAACACAGCUGAAAUCUACUCAUGUUCCUGCAUUAAGUUCUUAUUGUAACGAUGGAGCAAAACCUUGUCCUAGCAACCAUCCGCAGGGUAGUUUCUAUAUAAACACAAACUGCUUUCAGGAAAUGAAUAGACCUGGUACCAGUUCAGCGGCCGUGAGAACCAUAACUGCAGCAGUUACAGAAGAUAGAGAUGCAACUGUCCAUGGUCCAAACAAUACAAGUGUCACCAUGGCGAAAACUUGUCUUCCGGAAAUGCAGCUGAAAUCUACACAUGUUCCUGGUUUAAGUUCUCAUUGUAACGACGGAGCAAAAUCUGGUUCUAGCAACCAUCCGCAGGAUCGUUUCUACACAAACACAAACUGCUUUCAGGAAAUGGAAAGACCUGCUACCAGUUCAGCGGCCGUGAGAACCAGAACGGAAGCAGUUGCAGAAGAUAGAGAUGCAGCUGGCCAUGGUCUAAACAAUAUAAGUGUCACCAUGGCGAAAACUUGUCUUCCUGAAAUGCAGCUGAAAUCUACUCAUGGUCCUGUUUUAAGUUCUUAUAGUAAGGACGGAGCAAAAUCUGGUUCUAGCAACCAUCCGCAGGGUCAUUUCUACACAAACACAAGCCGCUUUCAGGAAAUGACAAGACCUGGUACCAGUUCAAUGGAUGUGAGAACCAGAACUGAAGCAAUUGAAAAAGAUAGAGAUGCAGCAGUCCAUGGCAAGAAGAGCACUGGUAUCUCUGGUCGACUUGUUCCAACCGAAUACCAUCCUUCAGGUGAAGGCAAUCUAUCGUCCUCGGUUAUGUCACAGAGGACUGUCAAUGUAGGAAUUAAUGCAGAUGGCAUGUCUUCCUGCAGGAGUAUGCCUGCCCAGGAAUAUGUCCCUGCUUCUAUUCCUUGUAAAGUUGCAAGCAAUGCGUAUCAUGAAAGUAGAAAGUCUGUGGAUGCAUGCACAUCAUUAUCAAUGGAUGACCAAGGUAGCUGGUACUCAAAAAAUUACCCAGGUCACUCUCCGGCAAGUAUUAGUUUGCCUUUUAUGGAGCUACCUGGCCUUGAAAAGAUGGAGAUCUCAAGCUAUGAUCCGAGGACAGGUGAAAAUAACUUUAUGAAUGGACGAUCAAUGAACAUAGUAAGAUGCCAACAACAGAAGCAGGUGAUUGGCAUGACCAGUACUAUGCAAAGUCAGAAUAAGAUUGGGUUCAGCGAUUCUCAAGCUGGGAAAAAGGGCCCAGAUGGUUUUGUGAGACGUGAUAAUUGUCAUUCGUACCAACCCACCAUGCGCUUAAUGGGCAAGACAGUCUCACUUUGUAAAGGUAGCAUGGAGCAGGAGGUACCAACUACAGGGAAGUGGAUUGACAAAAAUGUUAUUGGAGACCGUCCCUCAUCAGUUUCAUGCCAGUUGCCCCCAAAGAAGGUGUUCCCUUAUCAAGAUUCUGUGAUACCAAGAACUCGUGUUCAUGAAUCUUCAGAUACUUUGCCAAGGAUUCCCAACAGUACUUUUGCAGAGGCAAGGCCUAUUGCCAAUGAUGCUCAAAAUCAUAGGCUGCCACAGACUAAUAUUUCUUCAGCAGUUAAAGAUUACACUUGGAAUUCAGGCAGUCAGUUUGGCCGGCAAGCUCAGGGAAACAAAGAAUAUGUCAUAGGCAACUCAAGGACCAGGCAUAUGGAGUUGUCUCAGCCACCCGAGUUGAUAGGCAUUCAUCGGAACCAAUACUUGCACUUAGGCAAUCCUGCAUCAAGCAUGUAUGCAGAAGAACACACUUUUGUUGGUUCAGCAGUAAAUCGAUCUUCUCCUUCAUUUCCACAGUGGUCAUUAAAUACAAGCAUGCAGGGGAAGUACCAAAAUCCCACUUCAUUGGUUUACGAAGAUCCUAGAUCUGUUCGUACCCACCAACCUCCCUGCCAAGUACCUGGAGCAAAUCUAUUUUCAGCAUCAAACAUAUCUUUUCAUGACUACGGUACAAAAAAUGCCGAGUCCAGAAACUCUUAUCAGCGAGCACAUCCUUCUCUUCCAAGUAGUGCGGCAAGUAAGUUCCAUGACUAUUGCACAAAAAAUGUCGAUUCCAGAUACUCUUAUCAGGGAGCACAUCCUUCUCUUUCAACUAGUGUGGCAAGUAAGUCUAUUUGGGCAAGUAAGUCUACUCGCGAUGUUCUGAAUAUAGAUGGCAGGAAGGGUGUUUCCCUAGUUGAUGAAAGAAGCAAGAGACCAGGUUGUGCAGAUAAUGUUUCACAGCAACCUGCAAAGAGGCAGCUUGUUGCAGACAAACCGGAGUUAACAAGUUCGAUGUUCCCAUGCAUGGAAAAAUACUCGUUUGGCUGGUCAGUAAAUGAUACAGUUGGCCCGCGGAUGCUUGACUUCAGUAACAAAAAUAGCAGGGCAUGCCACACAAAUAUCAAAAAAUGAAAAAACAAUAACUUAGGGGGGAUGUCUGUUCCAGUUGUUGAAGCAAGAUCAAGGACUGAGAUGCCACAUUCCACUAAAUUUUCAGUUGGUAAUGGUUUCUAUAGUGGAAUGUCAGAAAGAAACAGUGGAGUGUUCCUGUUCCACUUAUUAUUUUGGUAUUCGAAUAGUCGGCAAAAGGGAAGCUGUAGUAGCCUUUUCUUCAUUUCUCAAGAUGUUAGUUUAGCAAUCAGUCGAUUGCUUGUAAAAACUUUGCGGGCAAAUGUGCAAGAAUGUUUUUCUUAGGAUGACACUCCCUCUGUAAACUUUUAUAAGACGUUUUAGGUCACUAGUUUACAGAGAGAGUACAUACCAUGGCAUAUCACAGGCACGGGGACAUUUAAAUUGCCAAAUGUUGUCGAUUCGAUUAUUUUCUGGGGCCUCCUGUUCGUGCCAGUAUGCGUUCUGGCGCCUUAACACAUACUCCUUCCGUUGCAAAAUAAGUGUUGUGUUGUACUAAAACCGCGACACUUAUCAGCAUACUCUUCGGUUUGGUCCAGAAAGUAAAGCCAUCAUUUGGUAGAUUCAUUGAUCAGCACUUCCCUGCGCAACAAGCUAGGGAAGACAAUGACAGGCGCAUGGAAAGCAGGGUUUCUUUCAGGAAGCCGCGCCCACUGACUCUGAACUGAACUGAAACCCGAAACUUCGGAUGCAUGUCACCUAAGGUAGCCCUCUGGUCGUGCAACCUUGCAAAAGUUUGCCGGCGAAACGUGCAAUCGCCUGAGACCCUCCAGUUUGUUCUUGCUUUCCUUGGGCCAAGAGUAAGGGAGACUUCGCAUCGUAUCUGCAAGGGUUCCUUCCUUGCCCCCCUUUAAACCCCAGUUUUAAACUGCCCCAACACAGGUAUAAAACCAUCAGGUGUGUCCCUUGUCAUCCACACCGUCCCAUACCGACAGACAGACCGACCGAGGACAUCAAGAGGCCUCGGAGAAAGCUUUCUCGCAAGCCGCGGCGACGAACCAUGGGUGUUCUUGGUGCCCUUGCCAGGCAUUUGGAUUCCCUUGUUGGGUAAGCGGGUCACACCUGUAUAUUCAUGUUGCUGCUUUUGUUCAUUUCCUUGUGAACUUCGAGACUUGUUACGCUCUGAAAUUCGUGUUUCUGCUUCUAUGUUGCACUCCACAGGCCAGGAAUCAUGCUGCUUUAUCCGCUGUAAGUGAUUCGUCAGAAACAACGGUUCACGGUUGGUUUGAGAGCUAUUUCAACACUGUGCUCUGAAUUCUAACAAUGGUUGGUUUUCUUGCACGAUCAGGUACGCGUCGAUGCGCGCGAUCGAGAGCCCUUCUUCCCUGGAUGAUCAGCAGUGGCUCACCUACUGGGUGCUGUACUCCCUGAUCACCCUCUUUGAGCUCUCAUGCUGGAAGGCUCUCCAGUGGUAAGCCAGCAGUAACCAUGACUCUCCUCUCUUCCUCUGUCUGAUUUGCUCAGUUAUUAUUGUUCGUUCCUCGGGCAAUGAAUUUCUCAAGAUUUCGCUCUGCCUAUGUGUGUAUGUUUCAGGCUCCCUCUGUGGCCGUACAUGAAGCUCCUCUUCUGCUGCUGGCUGGUGCUGCCGAUCUUCAACGGCGCGGCCUACAUCUACGAGACGCACGUCCGGCGCUACUUCAAGAUCGGGCAGUACGUGAGCCCCGGCUACAGCGAGAGGCAGAGGAAGGUGCUGCAGAUGAUGAGCCUCGACGCGCGCAAGUCCGUCGAGCGCUUCAUCGAGACGCACGGGCCCGGCGCUCUCGAGAAGAUCAUCCAAGCCGUGAGUCGUCCUUGCUCCCUACACUGCCUGCAUAUAUGCUCUUUUGUUUCUGAAUGUUCAUCUCUUUUUAUUCCUCCUUCCUGAUUUAAUGGUUUGACUUGUGCAUGCAGGCUGAACAGGAAGCCAAGAGAGCCUAGUUUAUCUAGCGUGUGGUGAAGUGGAAGGCAUUCUUUCAACCGGGAGAAGAGAAACGAGUGGAAAUGUAAAUGGCUGCCGUGUGCUGUGAUCGAUAUGCUUCGGCAGCUGUUCUCCUUGUGCCGUGUGCGUGUGUUUGAUCUGUUGGUUGGGCUUGGCAAGAUACCUUGCUGUACAUAAGAGAUGAUCAAUGAAACAUUCAGGCUAUACAUGUGAAAUGUGGUGUGAUGUGAUGUGCUCAACACGAAAUGGAGCACGACCACAACUAGUCUCUGAAUGAAUGAAAACCAGAAUUUUAACUGUCCUGAACACAUCCCUUUCUCUCCACUGAACACCUUAAUCCUUGUGAUGAAUGAAAACCAAUUAUUGCCUAUACCUGUUACAAACUGCAUGGCGUAUUCAUUCUUCAAAAUGAAAAAAAAGAACAGGCUAAUGUGUUGCUUUUACAGAUCGAAAAGAAUUAAUCCAUUUCCAUGCCCUUUGUUGGCGAGCGGAAAUGGGAAUUGCACAUGCCUGUACUGGAUCGACCACUAGCCAUAGAUAGUCACGCGAUGGGAUCAAAGGGAUGCGAGCGUGCUGAUGUCCAUCGGGUAGGCGUCGUUGGGCGACUGGGCGCGGUAGGACCUCCGGCCGACGAUGAUGUUGGCCGCCUCCGACGGGUGGAAGGCGUCCCAGAAGAUGUGCUGGUCCCUGUUGGCGCACGGCGCCUGGUACGGCAGGCACGUCACCUCCCCGUUGUUCCGCCCCACGCCGCAGCACCCGGCGGUGGACUCCGUGAACCCGUAGGCGCCGGCGUUGGCCAGGAUGUCGUUGAAGAUGUUGUAGGCGUUGAUGUAGGUGAAGUGCGCGCCGGGGAGGGUGUUCAUCUGGUCCACCAGCCCCACCAGCCGCCGGUUGAAGAUCUGGAUGGCGCCGUCGAUGCGGCCGACGCAGGUGGCGCCGUCGGGGCUGUAGCGCGCCAGCUCGUUGGGGGCGCACCCGACCUGGCCCACCCCGAUCAGGGCCACCUUCCGGGCGCCGUAGCUGUACAUGGCCUGGAGGUAGCGGCGGUAGUCGGCGAUGAGCGAGUCGGCGAACUGCUCCGGCGUGUAGCGGCUGCCGGUGCUGUAGAAGGCCGGCUGGAAGUAGUUGUUGAGGUAGUCGUUGCUGCCCAUGCCCACCGUGAAGAUGCACUGGCUCAGCCGCUCCGACGCCGUGUCCCGGUCGCCCAGGAUGUUCACCAGCGUCUGCACCGCCGUCUGGUAGUUCUGCACCUGCCCCGCGAACGGGAUCCGCCCGCCCUGCAUCACGUCCAUUCCAUGAGAUCAAUUUUUUGGAUCUGCGACAUGAUCGUUGUGAACUUGUGAUAUGUACACUCCACGUACGAGCUGCUGGCCGGUCUCGGCACGGAUCCCGGCGGCGGCGGAGGCGAAGUUGACGCCGUUGAGGAGCUGGUCGCCGCCCGUCGCCGCGUAAGGAGGGAUGAAAUUGUCGAAGCCCAGAAGUUGAGCUGCAUGCGCAUGUUGGUAAAAAAAAAUCACAACAAGGUUAACGUUUUAAGCCGUGACAUGAGUCAUGACACACGUACGUAACCACCAUUGAUGCUACACAUGUAGGAGUACUAUAUGUACGUAGAAAUCUUUUUAGAAUUUUUUUAUCUGGAACGACGAUGGAUCUAGGCAGUGUGUUCUUGAUGAAUCUAUGCCGCGCCCCGGCAAAUUUAAUUCCAUGCAACCCUCACCGAACACUGUAGUACUAUAUCGGCGGGCUGGCCCACGCUGGGACGUGUGAUGGGUGUCUAGCCAAGAGAAGCUACAGCCACAUUCCUUUAUUUACACACCUACCUUGAAUAUUUCUACUACUACCACUGCUGCAUGCUGUACUUGGGAAGGAUCGGAAUGCCAGCUACCGUUUUCUAUCACCUGACCCAGAUACGCAUGCAAUGCAUGCACGCACCACCCAUGACCACCAUAAACAUGGUCGAUCGAUCGUGUCCGAAAUUCCGAAUGCGCGCGCUGGUGGUAGACGACAACAAUUCACCUCAGCUAUCCUAUAUCCUGUAGUUAGCUCCUGUGUAAAGGUAGGUAGGUAGUGCAUGCUGAUGACGGCCAUGUUAAUUUGGUCUUGACGUAGAGUAUAUACAUAUAUAUAUAUAUAUGCAUGGUUAGUUAAUUACCGAUGACGUCGACGGUGGUGAGGCCGUUGGUGAAGCGCCCCGACGGGCCGCCGGCGAAGUCGAUGCCGUAGGGCGGGUAGUUGGCGCGCGCCAGGGACACGAUGUAGUUGUUGUUGCCGUUGUCCACCAGCGAGUCGCCGAAGAUGAAGUAGCACGGCACCUGGGGGUCGCACCUCGCCGCCGUCGCCAGCGCCAGCGCCGCCGCCGCCACCAAGCACGCCAGCCGCCCCAGCUCCAUGGCGCCCGCGCACGCUGCUAGGGCUAAGCUAGCUAGCUUCCGAGGAGAGACGUAGCUAGGUAGCUAUAGCUAGGCACGGGUGCAGGGGAGAUCGGUCGACGAGCGGGGCGGGGAGAGAACUAGAAGUGGAUAUGGACGGAGAGGGCGGGAGGUCGGCCAGAGGAGCUAGCACGAGUCACGCUUGCACAUGACCCACGGGACUGAGCUAGCAUAUAUAGGCGCCGCGCGGGCAGCGAUGGAGCGGCACCGGAAGGAGGCUGCAGUGAUAGCAGAUGGACUCGUGGACGCGCUCCACUUGCACAGAUCAUAGAUUGUUGGUCGCGCUUGGUGGGCGAGCUAGCCGCCUAGCCCCAGUACAGUACCGGCACUUAGCUACUGAUCGAUCGAGUUUUGAGUGACUUAAGUUGGUGAACUGGGAAGAGGGGCCGGCCGAAAAUACAGGUAGUAAUUCCACACGGCUUUCAAAACCGUGCAUCACCGCAUUAAAUUAACAGAAUGACUAAUGGGAAACGUUUGGCAUCGGCGCACCGGCCGAACGCUUCGGCCGGUGCCCCUCGCUCGCUCGCUCUUUUCCACGGACGGAACGUUUUUUCUUAUGUGCUUCUUCUUCCUCUCGCGAGCGCCGCCUCCUAGAAGUAUGUCCCCUCCCCCCUCCCCCUCUUCCCGAGCUGCGACUGGGCCACCACGACCUCCAUCGCCGGCGGCCAGGCUCCCCUCGCCGGCUGCCAUGGCUGCCUGCCGCCAUGGCCAGAUCCAUCCCCUACCUCAAGCUUUCACGCGGGCGCAUCCCCUNNNNNNNNNNNNNNNNNNNNNNNNNNNNNNNNNNNNNNNNNNNNNNNNNNNNNNNNNNNNNNNNNNNNNNNNNNNNNNNNNNNNNNNNNNNNNNNNNNNNNNNNNNNNNNNNNNNNNNNNNNNNNNNNNNNNNNNNNNNNNNNNNNNNNNNNNNNNNNNNNNNNNNNNNNNNNNNNNNNNNNNNNNNNNNNNNNNNNNNNNNNNNNNNNNNNNNCUGUGACUGGGCGACCACAACCUCCAUCGCCGGCUGCCAGGCGCUCCCUCGCCGGCCACCAUGGCUGGAUGCAGCCCGCGUAUACUAGUGUUGCAACCGUCAUCCAGAACAGCUUCAAGAACUGUUGAAAAAAGCUUCAACCAUAGACAGAAAAGCUUCAAUGAAACUGCACAAUAAGGGGAAGCUGCAACCGUAGUUGGUUUUUGUUACUACCGGCGAAGGUUUUUGCUACAUCCAUCAGGCGGAGCUGCGACCUCGCGACGAUGACAACGACGAUUUUUGUUGCAAUCGUAGUAGAAUUUUGCUACUACCACUGAAGUUUUUGCUACAUCCAUGUAAGGCAGAGUUGCGACCUCGCGAAAGACGGCGACGGUGUUUGAUUUUUGCUGCAACCAUAGUAGAAUUUUGCUUCUAUCGGUGAAGCUUUUUGCUACAUCCAUGUAAGGCGGAGUCGCGACCUCGCGAAAGACGGCGACGGUGUUUGAUUUUUGCUGCAACCGUAGUUUACUUUUGCUACUACGGGUGAAGUUUUUUGCUACAUCCAUUUAAAACGGUGUUGAUUGACUGACGGUCGCCGUCGAUAUAAUUUCCUGCGGCGAGCAUCAAUGGCGAGGGCCGGCGGCCGAGCCACAACCGUCGCCGUCAAGAGCUGCAACGCAGGUGGAGUUGUUGCAUGGGAACUGGCGACGUGGACAGCCGGCGAGGGCGGGGACUGGCGACGAGGACGGGCGGCGAGGGCGGGGAUCGGCGACGAGGACGGGCGGCGAGGGUGGGGUCCGGCGGCGACGAGGAAGACCGGCGAGGGUGGGGACCGGCGACCACCGGAGGAGACAGGAGGCACGGCGCCGCGCUCCCCCAAACGGGACACGCGGAUCCAACUAACUUCCCGAGGAAGAAGAGAGCUGGGGGCGAUUCGUUUUUUUUUUUUGCUUGGGAUCCAGCGGCUGCGUGGCUUAAAUCGAACGGCCCGGGCUGGACCGGCCGAAACUUUCGGCCGGCGCACCGGCGCCUAUAAGCGCCCAUGACUAAUUCACAUCUAGUAUAGAUGUUUUUAAGAAUGUCACAUCUAAGUAGUUCAUUGCAUAAUAAGGGGCUUGAAGAUUUGUACAAAAUAUUUUUUAAUUGUGUUUUUGCUAAUGUUGUGUGAUGUCAUGCUUAGAUGUAACAUAGUUAUGUCACAUCUAGCCACAUCCUUUAUUUAAUUGAAUAAUAACACAGUAACACUAACGUGGCCUUGUCUUCUGCGAUAGAAUUGCGACAACCCGUGCAUGCAUGCGUGAUGCUGUCAAGUGUGUGUGUGAUUACUGGUUUGCUUGCAGUGCAGGCUGCAGCUUAGAUGGAUCUGUAUAUUGCAGCUUUUGCACAUACUUCAUUUAAUUCUCCGGGCUCCUAGCUAGCGGCUCAGUGAACGUACUACAUGUAUCUUGUUAUCACUGCAUGCGCGGCGCACUGGCAAAAUGCAUGGCAAGUGGGCACUGUAGGGUGCUUGCAUUGCAUGCAUGGCAAGUUCUGUACUGCUACUCCAGCUAGUACUAGUACUGGUGGUUGGAUUCGGUGUGGUGUGGGUCUGCGCUGCGCAUGAUCACUUGAUCAGUGAAACAUAUGAACAGUGUUUACCGUGUGCCACAGUGCUAUGUUUUUUUCUUUUCAGAAUAGGACAAGCCGAGAAGAGCAUCUUCGUGCAUUCCUCUUGAAGUACCUGCGUUCGUGCCAACUGCUCCGGGGUUUACUACUAACUUCAUUGUUUAUGAGAUGAUGAAUUUAAGCACCUCAAAGAAAUUAAACGUGAGGAAAACCACCAAGUCGCUUCCUGUAGAAAAAGGCAGGCUGCUUGUACCGUGACUCGCAAAUGAUCGUUUCCACGAAAAUUACAGGUACAGGCCAGUACCGGUGGAGUACCAUCUAAGAAAGCAUUUCAUCAACUUAAGUGAGGCCGCCCGUAGGCCGCAGCGGUAAGUAAUUAGGCAUGGAGGACGUACGACACUAGUCCGUGAGAUGGGCCAUAAACCGCGGCAUGGAGUCCGUCGACGAGCAUAGAUGGAGGCACCUCCAUUAAUGCCGGUAGGAGGAGGAGGCAACGCGAGCGGUGAGCGCCAUCAAGUUGAAGAGCCAUCGAUCGGCCGCCCCCAAAUCAUGCAGGCUUCCCAGCGCUUGCGUUGCGUUGCGGCAGCGCGAAGCAGACCCCCGGCGCCGAGCUGGCCGGCAUUCCGCGCCGCGCAAACCGACGGCCGCACAUGCACGGAUGCAUGCAUGUCACCCAGGGGAGAGGAGAGGACGGCCCAUCAGAACGGGUAAGCAAAACAGCUAGAGCAGACCUAACCUACCGCGGCGGCGCGUUACUCGCGGCUGCUGAUAGACUAUGAAGCACCGAUACGGCGACAUCGAUACGGCGAUACGGAUACGGGGAUACGGGAUACGGCAAUUUUUGAAAACAGCAAUACGGCGAUACGGCGAGUAUAUAUAAAUAAUUAAUAAAAUGUCAUAUUAUUAUGAAGACAAUGAAUUGAAUGCCUGAUAUGAGAUCAAAAUACAACCCAUUUGUUGCAUCCAUGCCUAUUUCUCGAUGACUGAAUGAGUGACUGAUCAUCACUUUACUCAAUCCUCGCCUCCUGGAUGACUGAAUCAUCAUCAAUUUACUCAGCAGUGAGCAAGCACGCACACAUAAACAACAACCACGCAUGCAUGGCGGAAAUAAGCACACACAGCUAGCACGCCCAGGCGGCGGCAACGAGCGACUCCAGGCGGCUGCAGCGACGAGAGACUGAAGUCGUCUGCAACGAUGUGCUCGCCCGACGAUCCAGUCUACCGCCCUAGCGAAUUGGGUACGCUGGCUGUUUAGGGUUACGAGUGGGUUCGUACUGGGCUUCCCGUGUCCCCGACGUGUUGGCGCCGUCCUGGCGGCCGUAUCAGCAUUUUUUUCGUUGUUUUUAAAUCGAAAAACGAGAUACUCCAUGGAUACGCGUAUCGAUGGCGUAUCGGACGUAUCGGAGUAUCGGCGACGUAUUAUACGCCGAUACACAGCUUCUGGACGUAUCGGUGCUUCAUAGCUGAUAGAGCCCGGGGCUCUGCGACUGCUCUGACGCUUCGUUUCCAUGCAGGAACGGACUUGCAAAGGACGGGUCAGUGGUUGUAAUGGUCGGGUCGCAGCUAUGAGUGGCCGCCCACAAGGAUAGGAUAGCUGGCUAGGGUGGUUGUUUCAGCCAAUCUGACAACUCUUGCACCUGCAGGGAAUGGCAUGGUCGUGUUUGGUGAAUCUCUGAUAAUGGCUGCUGUGCAUCAUCAACUACGAAGCUUCUAUCGUGGCCUUAGCUCGGGCUAAGCGGUUGUGUAAUAUUAUGCGAGAGUAGCUUGAUGUUUUGUUAGACUGUACAGUUUCUGUAUUUACAUGUGUAUACUGUAACGUUGUAUAUCACCUCAUUAUAUAUAUGUGAUAGGCCACCCCUAGAGGGUUGUGCCGGUUCCUUCCAAAACCUAUUGUCUUACAUGGUAUCACGCUAGGUUACUUCCGCUUCCGCCUAAAAACCCUAAACCGCCGCCGCCGUCGCCCGACUGCUAUGUCGUCCGCCGCCGCGUCCGGCUCCACCGCCACCGGGUUUCUCCCGGCUUCUCUCGCGGCGCUUCUCUCCAGGCCGCUGGAUGCCGCUUCCCUUCAGGCGCCGAUCGGGACGAGGAGCGUCGGCUCCCUCUUCGCGCUUCCACCGGCUGCCUCCUCGCCUGGGCAGGCGCUUGUCGUCCACACCGCCGCCGCCCCGUCAACCACGGCUGCCGCCCCGUCAACCGCGGCUGUCGCGCCCUCGGCCACUGCACCGUUGGUGGCGGAGGACGCCGUGAUGGCGGGCUUCGCGGCGUCAACCGCGGCCAUCGCGCCCCCUGUCACCGCGCCGGCUGCCUCUCCGACUGUCUCCACGGUGGUUUCACCUCAGCCAGUCUCCUCGAUGGGAUCGCAGCUGCCGCCGCCGUUUCACUUCGGCCAUCUCAUCACCAUCAAGUUGUCGUCGGACAACUACAUCUUCUGGCGCGCGCAGGUUCUUCCGCUUCUUGGGAGUCACUACCUGCUUGGCUAUGUCGACGGCUCUCUCCCUUGCCCUCCUGCGCUGGUUGACAGCGUGCACGGUCCGGUCUAUAAUCCAGCUCACCGUGUCUGGACAGGGCAGGAUCAGGCGAACCUCUCCUCCAUCCAGGGGUCGCUCUCUCCGGCCGUCACUGGGCUUGUUGUCUUCGCCAAGACGUCCCAUGAGGCGUGGACUAUUCUUGAGCGCUCGUUUGCGGCACAGUCGCAGGCUCGUGUAUCUGGGCUCCGUCGCCAACUUGGGGAGUGUCAGAAGCUUGACUCCACCGCCACUGAGUUCUACAACAAAGUCAAGGGCCUCGCCGACACGCUGGCCUCCAUUGGACAGCCCCUCAGCGACUCCGAGUUCAACUCGUUUAUUGUCAAUGGUCUUGAUGAGGAGUAUGACGCCUUAGUCGAGAUCAUCAAUGAGAGGGGCAACUCCACACCCAUGCCAGCACACGAGGUCUUUUCACGCCUCCUUCUUACUGAACAACGAGUCGAGACGCGCCGAUCCAGGGGCAACGGCGCCCUCUUGGCCAACGCCGCCACCAAGGGUGGUCGCUCUUCUUCAUCAUCCAGGGCUCCUUCGGGGCAGCCACCACCGCCCGCCUCGGCCCCUCCUCCUACUGCGACGUUGCCAGGGGCUGGCGGUCCGCGUGUGUGUCAGCUUUGUGGUCGCGAUGGGCACUGGGACUCGAAGUGUCACUGUUGGAAAUAUGCCCUAGAGGCAAUAAUAAAUUGAUUAUUAUUAUAUUUCCUUGUUCAUGAUAAUCGUUUAUUAUCCAUGCUAGAAUUGUAUUGAUAGGAAACUCAGAUACAUGUGUGGAUACAUAGACAACACCAUGUCCCUAGUAAGCUUCUAGUUGACUAGCUCGUUAAUCAAUAGAUGGUUACGGUUUCCUGACCAUGGACAUUGGAUGUCGUUGAUAACGGGAUCACAUCAUUAGGAGAAUGAUGUGAUGGACAAGACCCAAUCCUAAGCCUAGCACAAGAUCAUGUAGUUCGUAUGCUAAAGCUUUUCUAAUGUCAAGUAUCAUUUCCUUAGACCAUGAGAUUGUGCAACUCCCGGAUACCGUAGGAGUGCUUUGGGUGUGCCAAACGUCACAACGUAACUGGGUGGCUAUAAAGGUACACUACGGGUAUCUCUGAAAGUGUCUGUUGGGUUGGCACGAAUCGAGAUUGGGAUUUGUCACUCCGUGUAAACGGAGAGGUAUCUCUGGGCCCACUCGGUAGGACAUCAUCAUAAUGUGCACAAUGUGACCAAGGGGUUGAUCACGGGAUGAUGUGUUACGGAGCGAGUAAAGAGACUUGCCGGUAACGAGAUUGAACAAGGUAUUGGUAUACCGACGAUCGAAUCUCGGGCAAGUACCAUACCGCUAGACAAAGGGAAUUGUAUACGGGAUUGAUUGAGUCCUUGACAUCGUGGUUCAUCCGAUGAGAUCAUCAUGGAACAUGUGGGAGCCAACAUGGGUAUCCAGAUCCCGCUGUUGGUUAUUGACCGGAGAACGUCUCAGUCAUGUCUGCAUGUCUCCCGAACCCGUAGGGUCUACACACUUAAGGUUCGAUGACGCUAGGGUUAUAAAGGAAGCUUGUAUGUGGUUACCGAAUGUUGUUCGGAGUCCCGUAUGAGAUCCCGGACGUCACGAGGAGUUCCGGAAUGGUCCGGAGGUAAAGAUUUAUAUAUGGGAAGUCCUGUUUUGGCCAUCGGGACAAGUUUCGGGGUCAUCGGUAUUGUACCGGGACCACCGGAAGGGUCCCGGGGGCCCACCGGGUGGGGCCACCUGCCCCGGGGGCCACAUGGGCUGUAGGGGGUGCGCCUUGGCCUACAUGGGCCAAGGGCACCAGCCCCAAGAGGCCCAUGCGCCUAGGAAACCCUAGAGGGAAGAGUCCUCAAGGGGGAAGGCACCUCCGAGGUGCCUUGGGGAGGAUGGACUCCUCCCCCCCUCUUAGCCGCACCCCUUUCUUGGAGGAAGGGGCAAGGCUGCGCCUCCCCCCUCUCCCCUGCCCCUAUAUAUAGUGGAGGGGAGGGAGGGCAUCCAUACCUGAGCCCUUGGCGCCUCCCUCCCUCCCGUGACACCUCCUCCUCUCCCGUAGGUGCUUGGCGAAGCCCUGCAGGAUUGCCACGCUCCUCCAUCACCACCACGCUGUUGUGCUGCUGCUGGAUGGAGUCUUCCUCAACCUCUCCCUCUCUCCUUGCUGGAUCAAGGCGUGGGAGACAUCGUCGAGCUGUACGUGUGUUGAACGCGGAGGUGCCGUCCGUUCGGCACUAGGAUCAUCGGUGAUCUGAAUCACGACGAGUACGACUCCAUCAACCCCGUUCACUUGAACGCUUCCGCUUAGCGAUCUACAAGGGUAUGUAGAUGCACUCUCUUUCUACUCGUUGCUGGUCUCUCCAUAGAUAGAUCUUGGUGAUUCGUAGGAAAAAUUUUGAAUUUCUGCUACGUUCCCCAACAGUGGCAUCAUGAGCUAGGUCUAUUGCGUAGAUUCUUUGCACGAGUAGAACACAAAGUAGUUGUGGGCAUCGAUAUUGUUCAAUAUGCUUGCCGUUACUAGUCUUAUCUUGAUUCGGCGGCAUCGUGGGAUGAAGCGGCCCGGACCAACCUUACACGUACGCUUACGUGAGACCGGUUCCACCGACAAACAUGCACUAGUUGCAUAAGGUGGCUGGCGGGUGUCUGUCUCUCCCACUUUAGUCGGACCGGAUUCGAUGAAAAGGGUCCUUAUGAAGGGUAAAUAGCAAUUGGCAUAUCACGUUGUGGUUCAUGCGUAGGUAAGAAACGUUCUUGCUAGAAACCCAUAGCAGCCACGUAAAACAUGCAAACAACAAUUAGAGGACGUCUAACUUGUUUUUGCAGGGUAUGCUAUGUGAUGUGAUAUGGCCAAAAGGAUGUGAUGAAUGAUAUAUGUGAUGUAUGAGAUUGAUCAUGUUCUUGUAAUAGGAAUCACGACUUGCAUGUCGAUGAGUAUGACAACCGGCAGGAGCCAUAGGAGUUGUCUUUAUUUAUUUGUGACCUGCGUGUCAACUUAAACGUCAUGUAAUUACUUUACUUUAUUGCUAACCGUUAGCCAUAGUAGUAGAAGUAAUAGUUGGCGAGGCAACUUCAUGAAGACACGAUGAUGGAGAUCAUGGUGUCAUGCCGGUGACGAUGAUGAUCAUGGAGCCCCGAAGAUGGAGAUCAAAAGGAGCAAAGUGAUGAUGGCCAUAUCAUGUCACUAUUUGAUUGCAUGUGAUGUUUAUCAUGUUUAUACAUCUUAUUUGCUUAGAACGACGGUAGUAAAUAAGAUGAUCCCUUACAACAAUUCCAAGAAGUGUUCUCCCCUAACUGUGCACCGUUGCGACAGUUUGCUGUUUCAAAACAUCACGUGAUGAUCGGGUGUUUUAUUCAGACGUUCAAAUACAACGGGUGUUGACGAGCCUAGCAUGUACAGACAUGGCCUCGGAACACACGCGAAACACUUAGGGUUAACUUGACGAGCCUAGCAUGUACAGACAUGGCCUCGGAACACGGAGACCGAAAGGUCGAACAUGAGUCGUAUAGAAGAUACGAUCAACAUGAAGAUGUUCACCGAUGAUGACUAGUCCGUCUCACGUGAUGAUCGGACACGGCCUAGUUUGACUCGGAUCAUGUAAUCACUUAGAUGACUAGAGGGAUGCCUAUCUGAGUGGGAGUUCAUAAGAUGAACUUAAUUAUCCUGAACAUAGUCAAAAGGUUUUUGCAAAUUAUGUCGUAGCUCACGCUAUAGUUCUACUGUUUAGAUAUGUUCCUAGAGAAAGUUUAGUUGAAAGUUGAUAGUAGCAAUUAUGCGGACUAGGUCCGUAAACUGAGGAUUGUCCUCAUUGCUUCAUAGAAGGCUUAUGUCCUUAAUGCACCGCUCAGUGUGCUGAACCCCAAACAUCGUUUGUGGAUGUUGCGAACAUCUGACAUACACGUUUUGAUAACUACGUGAUAGUUCAGUUAAACGGUUUAGAGUUGAGGCACCAAAGACGUUUUUGAAACAUCGCGAAACAUAUGAGAUGUUUUGAGGGCUGAAAUUGGGAUUUCAGGCUCGUGCCCAUGUCAAGAGGUAUAAGACCUCCGAUGACUUUCUUAACCUGCAAACUAAGGAGAAAAGCUCAAUUGUUGAGCUUGUGCUCAGAUUGUCUGAGUACAACAAUCAUUUGAAUCGAGUGGGAGUUGAUCUUCCAGAUAAGACAGUGAUGGUUCUCCAAAGUCAUUGCCACCAAGCUGUUAGAGCUUCGUGAUGAACUAUAACAAAUCAGGGAUAGAUAUGAUGAUCCUUGAGGUAUUCGCGAUGUUUGACACCGCGAAAGUAGAAAUCAAGAAGGAGCAUCAAUUGUUGAUGGUUGGUGAAACCACUAGUUUCAAGAAGGGCAAGGGCAAGAAGGGAUACUUCAUGAAACGGCAAAUCAGCUGCUGCUCUAGUGAAGAAACCCAAGGUAAAACCCAAACCCGAGACUAAGUGCUUCUGUAAUAAGGGGAAUAACCACUAGAGCAGAAUUACCCUAGAUACUUGGUAGAUAAGAAGGCUGGCAAGGUCGAUAGAAGUAUAUUGGAUAUACAUUAUGUUAAUGUGUACUUUGCUAGUACUCCUAGUAGCACCAGGGUAUUAGAUACCGGUUCGGUUGCUAAGUGUUAGUAACUCGAAACAAAAGGCUACGGAAUAAACGGAGACUAGCUAAAGGUGAGCUGACGAUACAUGUUGGAAGUGUUUCCAAGUUUGAUGUGAUCUAACAUCGCACGCUCCCUCUACCAUCAAGAUUAGUAUUAAACCUGAAUAAGUGCUCUUGCACCUAAAGGAAUGGUUUAUUGAAUUUUGAUCGUAGGGAUACACAUUUUCAUGCCAAAAGAUAUAAGAUAGUAAUGAUAGUACCACUUACUUGUGGCACUGCCAUGUAAGUCAUAAUGGUAUAAAACGCAUGAAGAAGCUCCAUGUUGAUGGAUCUUUGGACUCACUCGUUUUAGAAAAGUUUGAGACAUGCGAACCAUGUCUAUUGGUGUAUACGCAUGAAGAAACUCCAUGCAGAUGGAUCAUUUGGACUCACUUGAUUAUGAAUCACUUGAGAUAUGCAAAUCAUACCACAUGGGCAAGAUGACUGAAAAGCCUCGUUUUCAGUAAGAUGGAACAAGAUAGCAACUUAUUGGAAGUAACACAUUUUGAUGUGUGCAGUCCAAUGAGUGCUGAGGCAUGCAGUGAAUAUCGUUAUGUUCUUACUUCACAGAUGAUUCGAGUAGAUGUUGAGAAUAUUUACUUGAUGAAACACAAGUCUGAAUUAUUGAAUGGUUCAAAUAAUUUCAGAGUGAAGUAGAAGAUCAUUGUGACAAGAGGAUAAAAUGUCUAUGAUAUGAUCAUAGAGAUGAGUAUCUGAGUUACGAGUUUUGGCACACAAUUAAGACAUUGUGGAAAUUGUUUCGCAAUUAAUACCGCCUGGAACACCAUAGUGUGAUGGUGUGUCCGAACAUCAUAGUUGCACCCUAUUGGAUAUGGUGCGUACCAUGAUGUCUCUUAUCGAAUUACCACGAUAGUUUAUGGGUUAGGCAUUAGAGACAACCACAUUCACUUUAAAUAGGGCACCACGUAAUUCCGAUGAGAUGACACCGUAUGAACUAUGGUUUAGAGAAACCUAAGCUGUCAUUUCUUAGAAGUUUGGGGCUGCGAUGCUUAUGUGGAAAGGUUUCAGGCUGAUAAGCUCGAACCCAAAGCGGAUAAAUGCAUCUUCAUAGGACACCCAAAACAGUUGGGUAUACCUCCUGUCUCAGAUUCGAAAGCAAUAAGGGAUUGUUUCUAGAAUCGGGUCCUUUCUCGAGGAAAAGUUUUCUCUCGAAAGAAUUGAGUGGGAGGAUGGUGGAGACUUGAUGAGGUUAUUGAACCGUCACUUCAACGAGUGUGUAGCAGGGCACAGGAAGUUGUUCCUGUGGCACCUACACCAAUUGAAGUGGAAGCUUAUGAUAGUGAUCAUGAAGUUUCGGAUCAAGUCACUACCGAACCUCGUAGGGUGACAAGGAUACGUACUACUUCAGAGUGGUACAGUAAUCCUGUCUUGAAGGUCAUGUUGCUAGACAACAAUGAACCUACGAGCUAUGGAGAAGCGAUGGUGGGCCCAAAUUCCGACAAAUGGUUAGAAACCAUAAAAUCCGAGAUAGGAUCCAUGUAUGAAAACAAAGUGUAGACUUUGGCAGAACAACUUGAUGGUCGUAAGGCUGUUGAGUGCAGAUGGAUUUUGAAAGGAAGACAGACAAUGAUGGUAAGUGUCACCAUUGAGAAAGCUCGACUUGUCGUUAAGAUGUUUUUCGACAAGUUCAAGGAGUUGGCUACGAUGAGACUUUCUCACUCGUAGCGAUGCUAAGAGUCUGUUGGAAUUAUAUUAGCAAUUACUGCAUUAUUUAUGAAAUCUUGUAGAUAGGAUGUCAAAACAUUGUUUCCUCGACGAUUCUUGAGGAAAGGUUGUAUGUGAUACAACCGGAAGGUUUUGUCUAUCCUGAAAUAUGAUAAUAAGUAUGCAAAGCUCCAGCAAUCCUUCUGAGGACUGGAGUGAGCAUCUCGGAGUUGGAAUGUAUGCUUUGAUGAUGAUCAAAGAUUUUGGGUGUAUACAAAGUUUAUGAGAAACUUGUAUUUCCAAAGAAGUGAGUGGGAGCACUAUAGAAUUUCUGAUGAGUAUAUGUUGUUGACAUAUUAAUGAUCAGAAAUGACGUAGAAUUUCUGGAAAGCAUAUAGGGUUAUUUGGAAAGUGUUUUCAAUGGAAAACCUGGAUUAAGCUACUUGAACAUUGAGCAUCAAGAUCUAUAAGGAUAGAUCAAAAUGCUUAAUAGUACUUUCAAAUGAGCACAUGCCUUGACGUGAUCUUGAAGGUGUUCAAGAUGGAUCAGUCAAAGAAGGAGUUCUUGCCUGAGUUGUAAGGUAUGAAGUUAAGACUUAAAGCUCGACCAUGGCAGAAUAGAGAGAAAGGAACGAAGGUCGUCCCCUAUGCUUAAGACAUAGGCUCUACAGUAUGCUAUGCUGUGUACCGCACCUGAAGUGUGCUUUACCAUGAGUCAGUCAAGGGGUACAAGAGUGAUCCAAGAAUGGAUCACGGGACAGCGGUCAAAGUUAUCCUUAGUAACUAGUGGACUAAGGAAUUUUCUCAAUUAUGGAGGUGGUAAAAGAGUUCGUCGUAAAGGGUUACGUCGAUGCAAGCUUAACACCUAUCCGGAUAGCUCUGAGUAGAGAUACCGGAUACGUAUAAUGGAGCAACAAUUUAGAAUAGCUCCAAGUAGAACAGUUAUUUGGAAUAGCUCCAAAUAGAACGUGGUAGCUGCAUCUAGGAGAUGACAUAGAGAUUUGUAAAGCACACACGGAUCUGAAAGAUUCAGACCCGUUGACUAAAACCUCUCUCACAAGCAACAUGAUCAAACCCAGAACUCUUUGGGUGUUAGUCACAUGGGGAUGUGACCUUGAGUGUUAAUCACAUAUCGAUGUGAACUAGAUUAUUGACUCUAGUGCAAGUGGGAGACUGUUGGAAAUAUGCCCUAGAGGCAAUAAUAAAUUGAUUAUUAUUAUAUUUCCUUGUUCAUGAUAAUCGUUUAUUAUCCAUGCUAGAAUUGUAUUGAUAGGAAACUCAGAUACAUGUGUGGAUACAUAGACAACACCAUGUCCCUAGUAAGCCUCUAGUUGACUAGCUCGUUAAUCAAUAGAUGGUUACGGUUUCCUGACCAUGGACAUUGGAUGUCGUUGAUAACGGGAUCACAUCAUUAGGAGAAUGGUGUGAUGGACAAGACCCAAUCCUAAGCCUAGCACAAGAUCAUGUAGUUCGUAUGCUAAAGCUUUUCUAAUGUCAAGUAUCAUUUCCUUAGACCAUGAGAUUGUGCAACUCCCGGAUACCGUAGGAGUGCUUUGGGUGUGCCAAACGUCACAACGUAACUGGGUGGCUAUAAAGGUACACUACGGGUAUCUCUGAAAGUGUCUGUUGGGUUGGCACGAAUCGAGAUUGGGAUUUGUCACUCCGUGUAAACGGAGAGGUAUCUCUGGGCCCACUCGGUAGGACAUCAUCAUAAUGUGCACAAUGUGACCAAGGGGUUGAUCACGGGAUGAUGUGUUACGGAACGAGUAAAGAGACUUGCCGGUAACGAGAUUGAACAAGGUAUCGGUAUACCGACGAUCGAAUCUCGGGCAAGUACCAUACCGCUAGACAAAGGGAAUUGUAUACGGGAUUGAUUGAGUCCUUGACAUCGUGGUUCAUCCUAUGAGAUCAUCGUGAAACAUGUGGGAGCCAAUAUGGGUAUCCAGAUCCCGCUGUUGGUUAUUGACCGGAGAACGUCUCAGUCAUGUCUGCAUGUCUCCCGAACCCGUAGGGUCUACACACUUAAGGUUCGAUGACGCUAGGGUUAUAAAGGAAGCUUGUAUGUGGUUACCGAAUGUUGUUCGGAGUCCCGGAUGAGAUCCCGGACGUCACUAGGAGUUCCGGAAUGGUCCGGAGGUAAAGAUUUAUAUAUGGGAAGUCCUGUUUUGGCCAUCGGUACAAGUUUCGGGGUCAUCGGUAUUGUACCGGGACCACCGGAAGGGUCCCGGGGGCCCACCGGGUGGGGCCACCUGCCCCGGGGGCCACAUGGGCUGUAGGGGGUGCGCCUUGGCCUACAUGGGCCAAGGGCACCAGCCCCAAGAGGCCCAUGCGCCUAGGAAACCCUAGAGGGAAGAGUCCUCAAGGGGGAAGGCACCUCCGAGGUGCCUUGGGGAGGAUGGACUCCUCCCCCCCUCUUAGCCGCACCCCUUUCUUGGAGGAAGGGGCAAGGCUGCGCCUCCCCCCUCUCCCCUGCCCCUAUAUAUAGUGGAGGGGAGGGAGGGCAUCCAUACCUGAGCCCUUGGCGCCUCCCUCCCUCCCGUGACACCUCCUCCUCUCCCGUAGGUGCUUGGCGAAGCCCUGCAGGAUUGCCACGCUCCUCCAUCACCACCACGCCGUUGUGCUGCUGCUGGAUGGAGUCUUCCUCAACCUCUCCCUCUCUCCUUGCUGGAUCAAGGCGUGGGAGACAUCGUCGAGCUGUACGUGUGUUGAACGCGGAGGUGCCGUCCGUUCGGCACUAGGAUCAUCGGUGAUCUGAAUCACGACGAGUACGACUCCAUCAAUCCCGUUCACUUGAACGCUUCCGCUUAGCGAUCUACAAGGGUAUGUAGAUGCACUCUCUUUCUACUCGUUGUUGGUCUCUCCAUAGAUAGAUCUUGGUGAUUCGUAGGAAAAAUUUUGAAUUUCUGCUACGUUCCCCAACAGUCACAAGCGCUUCCAGCGGGGUUUUCUUGGUCUCGGCAAUGACGGGAAGGAUACACGCAACUUUGCUCGUCAGGUCGCCAUGGCUGAUCGUCCGCCGCCGCAGAAGCCACAGGGACACACUCAGUCCUACUCCAUCGAUCCUCACUGGUACAUGGACUCUGGGGCGAUAGAGCAUCUGACCAGCGAGAUGGGGAAGCUUCACACUCGUGAACCCUACCAUGGCUCCGACAAGAUCCACACCGCCAAUGGAGCAGGUAUGCACAUCUCUCAUAUUGGUCAAGCAUCACUUCUCACUAGACAUGCCAAUAGGAGUCUUCAACUUCGCAAUGUUCUUCGAGUUCCAUCUGUGACACAUAAUCUUCUUUCAGUUCCUAAACUCACACAUGAUACUAAUGUGCUUUGUGAAUUUCAUCCUUUUGAUCUUUUUAUUAAGGAUCGGGGCACGAGGGACAUUCUUCUUAGUGGGCGGCUCUGCCAAGGUCUCUAUCGUCUGGAGCAUCCUGGCGUUGCUCGCGUCUUCAGUGGAGUUCGGGUAUCUCCGUCACAGUGGCAUGCUCGUCUUGGUCACCCGGCCACACCUAUUGUCCGGCAUGUUUUGCAUCAUCAUGAGCUUCAUAGUGUGUCUAGUAAUAAAGAUGUAGCAGUGUGUGAUGCUUGUCAGCAGGGGAAGAGUCAUCAACUUCCUUUUUCGGAGUCCAGUCGUGAGGUGAAACAUCCUUUAGAACUUGUGUUUUCAGAUGUAUGGGGUCCUGCUCAGACUUCUGUCAGUGGUCAUAAUUAUUAUAUCAGUUUUGUUGAUGCUUACAACCGCUUUACCUGGCUUUAUCUUAUCAAACGUAAAUCUGAUGUGUUUGACAUUUUUGUUCAGUUCCAAAAACAUGUUGAACGCCUUCUCAAGACAAAAUUGUUCAUGUUCAGUCGGACUGGGGUGGCGAGUAUCGCAACCUCAACUCCUUCUUUCAGUCGCUUGGGAUCGCUCACCGUUUAGCAUGUCCACAUACACAUCAGCAGAAUGGUUCAGUAGAACGUAAGCAUCGUCACAUUGUUGAAGCUGGUCUGACUCUUUUGGCCCAUGCAUCUGUUCCGUUUCGGUUUUGGAGUGAUGCUUUCACCACUGCAUGUUUUCUCAUUAAUCGUACUCCCACUCGUGUUUUGAACAUGAAGACUCCCAUUGAAGUUCUCCUUAAUGAACAACCGGACUACACCUUUCUCAAGGUGUUUGGGUGUGCUUGCUGGCCUCAUCUCCGUCCAUAUAACAAGCGUAAGCUCGAGUUUCGUUCCAAGAAGUGUGUUUGUCUUGGUUAUAGCUCUCUUCAUAAAGGAUACAAAUGUCUUCAUGUGCCCACUAAUCGUGUCUACAUCUCUCGGGAUGUUGUGUUUGAUGAACAUGUAUUUACCUUUGCCAAACUCCCUGUGUCCACUACCGAGCCACCAGUCAUGCAUUCAUCCUCUGUUGCUUCUGACCAAUUUGAUGAUGUUACAUAUUCUCCUCUAUUGUUGCCUAACCAUGGUGCAGGCACUGGUCGUGGGGCUCGUUUGGAGAUCUUGGAGGUGCCAUCGUCCUCUUCGUCGCCAUCGCCUUCAUCCUCGGCACCUUCUGUUGUGCAUGAGGAGCACAUGGCACCCCUGCAUGGCCUUGGUUCUCGUGCUCAUGCACGACCGGUCGAUGUCCUGGUCCGGUCGCCUCUGGCUUCUGGGCUGCCUUCGCCAUCGUCGCGCCCUGCGACCCCGACGACUGGGCCGGCCUCGCCGGUCCCCGUCUCGCCCAGGGAGUCUGGGCAGUCGUCUCCAGGCCUCGCCUCGCCCGCCCUCGCCUCGCCCAGGGUGUCCGGGCCCUUGUCACCAGGGCCGGCCUCGCCUGCUCUCGCCUCGCCAAGGCCGUCUGGGCCGGUGUCACCGGAGCUGGCCUUGCCCACUCUCGGUUCGCCCAUGGCCUCUGGGCCCCUGUCGUCGGGCCCGUCUUCACCAUGCAGCCCGGAGUCGUCUGUCCCGAGCUCGCCCGAGGCGACGCCUGCAUCUCCGCCGACCGUGACGUCUCCGUCACCCUCGCCUCCGCCGGCUCCUGCUGCUGCUCUACGUCCACAUACGCGCAGCCGGAGUGGCAUUUUUCAGCCUAAGCAGCGUCACGAUGGAACAGUUGCUUGGUUAGCGGCGUGCAUGUCUGCUGCUCUCGCAGAUCCAUCCUCUGAGCCACGCACGUAUCAAGCUGCUAUGCACAUUCCUCAUUGGAGAGAGGCCAUGGAGCAGGAGUAUCAAGCGCUUAUUCGCAAUCAGACAUGGACUCUUGUUCCUCCACAAUCACGGGUUAAUGUCAUUGAUUCAAAAUGGGUUUUCAAAGUGAAGAGGCAUUCUGAUGGAUCCAUUGAGCGCUAUAAGGCUCGUCUGGUUGCUCGUGGAUUUUGACAGCGUUUUGGACUUGACUAUGAAGACACCUUCAGUCCAGUGGUCAAGCCUACUACCAUCAGACUUCUUCUCUCUCUUGCCAUUACUCGAGGUUGGUUUCUUCGUCAGCUUGAUGUUCGAAAUGCUUUUCUUCAUGGUGUCUUGGAGGAGGAGGUUUACAUGCGCCAGCCUCCGGGUUUCUCUGAUCCGGAUCGCCCUGAUCAUCUCUGUCGUCUGUCCAAGGCAAUUUAUGGUCUGAAGCAGGCUCCUCGUGCUUGGCAUGCUCGUCUUGCAAUGGCUCUCCGUGCUCAUGGUUUUGCAUCAUCAACUGCUGACUCCUCAUUGUUUCUUCUUCAAAGGCCUGAGGUUACUAUGUACUUGUUGGUCUAUGUAGAUGAUAUCAUUUUGGUCAGCUCCUCUCAGUCGGCUGCUACUGCGCUUGUUCGCUCGCUUGGUGCUGAUUUUGCGGUCAAGGACCUUGGGAAGCUUCAUUACUUUCUUGGUGUGGAGGUUACUUCUUGUGCUGCUGGCCUUGUUAUGACGCAGAAGAAGUACUCUCUGGAUUUGUUGCAGCGAGCUGGGAUGCUUAAGUGCAAACCAACGACUACACCCAUGUCUACCACUGAUAAGCUCAAUGCUGUUGAUGGUGUGCUUCUUUCUUCUUCUGAUGCGACAGAGUACAGGAGUAUUGUUGGUGGGCUUCAGUACUUGACGAUCACGCGACCAGACAUUUCCUUUGCUGUUAACUGAGUUUGCCAGUAUUUGCAGUCACCCCGUGACACUCAUUGGUCUGCUGUUAAGCGGAUUUUGCGCUAUAUUCGUUUCACGGUGGCUCAUGGAUUGCAUAUUCGGCCGUCUGACUCUGGUUGUCUUUCAGCAUAUUCUGAUGCAGACUGGGCUGGCAAUCCGGAUGACAGGCGAUCCACGGGGGGUUAUGCUGUAUUCUUUGGCUCUAACCUGAUUGCCUGGAGUGCUCGGAAACAGGCUACUGUCUCGCGUAGCAGUACUGCGGCUGAGUAUAAGGCUGUGGCCAAUGCCACUUCGGAGAUCAUCUGGGUACAGUCCUUGCUUCGGGAGUUAAGUAUACCCCAAUCACAACCUCCUGUUCUUUGGUGUGAUAACAUCGGUGCUACAUACCUUUUUGCAAAUCCGGUAUUCCAUACCCGAACGAAACACAUUGAAGUUGACUAUCACUUUGUACGUGAACGUGUCUCUCAGAAGCAGCUACAGAUCAAGUUUAUUUCUUCCAAGGAUCAACUUGCUGACAUCUUCACCAAGCCAUUGCCUUUGCCACAGUUUGAGACUUGCAGGCGCAAUCUUACCCUUCUAGAUUCUUUAGGAAGUGGCUAAGAUUGAGGGAGGGUGUUAAACUAUAUAGUUUCUGUAUUUACAUGUGUAUACUGUAACGUUGUAUACCACCUCAUUAUAUAUAUGUGAUAGGCCACCCCUAGAGGGUUGUGCCGGUUCCUCCCAAAACCUAUUGUCUUACAUGUUUUGUUUUCGCUGUUGUGGGUUCUGUCCCUCAAACUCUUCUUCUUAAUCAAUGAAAAUGAUACUACCUCCAUCUAGGUGAAUAAGUCAUUCAUGUAGUUCUAGGUCAUCGAUUUGAGGAAUUAAAUAUGUGUUAUAUGUCAUGAAAAGUAUAUCACUAGAUUUCUACACGGAUGUAGUUUCUAAAUAUAUAUUUCUUGUCACAUAUAAUACAUAUUUAGAUGGUUAAAUCGUCGACCUAGAACUACGCGAAUGACUUAUUCACCUAGACGAAGGUAGUAAGUCUUUUGCCUCGUUUCAAAUAAAAUAUGCAUGCCCUAGACUUGGAACACAGCUUACUACUCCCUCCGUCUAGGUGUGUAAGUCACAUUAAAAGGUGCAUCGUGACCUAGGUGCAAGCUGAUUGGAAGAGAAGAAAAUCUGAACCGGUCCUCCUUCCAAUCAAAGUGCAGAUCUCUUUCUUCUAAACGUAGCAUUUAAUCGUAGGAAUUAAGAGGAUGACGUUUAGGUACCCACGCAGGCCCAUGUACUUCUAGCAUGCAAAGCCGCUUUAAUUUCUUGCCUAAUCAACGCAUAGACGUGCUGCAUGCAUUGGCCAUUACCUGAGAAAAAAUCAGGAGAAAAUGAGUUUUCGCUGGAAGAUAACGAGGCAUAGGAGGCAAAGCUUGCUGGCUAACGAGACUGGGAGGGAAUCGAGACGGGAAAUUAAUGAACGGCGCCUAAACGUUUUGGGAAAACCUGAUUUUCGUAAGGUGAUUUAUACACCUAGACGGAGGGAGUACCUUUUUUUCUUUUUUUAGCGGGGUAGAGAACGGCUUACCUUGACAGCGCAACUGAUUUACCAUGCUCCCGGCGACUAACAAUACACCGAAUUCUGCGAUAUGGGUACCAUUUGGGAUGAGGUAGCAUGGACAAUGUCCCCAAAAUCGCUGGAUCUGUUGGCCUGGGAGUCUGGGAGACGACCUGACGCCAAGGCCAAUCAGACACUUCAGCAACAUUGCAACAGCGUGACACACAUGUAGAUUGAUUAGUUUUUUUUGCUAGUUUGUGUUCUAAUUUUUGGAAAGGCCUAACUACUAGUACUCCCUCCGAUCCAAUUGUGCUAAAUCAGCAACAAUUAAUAUGGAUUGGGUGGAGUACUAUCUAUCUUUCAGUUUACAGGGCGUGCGUGUAUCCCUAGGUUGUUAAUUUGACCAACCUAAUACAAGUCAUAUAUUACAAAAAAUAUACCAACAUAAACUUCGGAGUUUCUAUUUUCAAAAGGUAUAAUUUUUGUGUUAUAUAGUUUAUAUUAGGGUGAUAAAAUUGGUAACCUAGGUAUACGCGCAGGACUUGUAAACUGAAACGAAGGUAGUAGUAUUUUUAGGUAAUGGAUUGUACCGAUUGAUCCUUGACCCGUUCCGUCACCAGUGCAGAAUAAAAACAUCAUAAAUGGGCGCUUAAAAACCUUUUUUUGGCAGAUCCAUCUGCGAGUUAAGGCGCGUGGUUAGUUUGUUUUCACCGACAGGCACCCGACUGUGAGCAUGCAAGUGAUGGCCUUCCCGUGUCUAGAUGUCAGUGGCUUGUGACUACCGUAUUUUGGCGAUAAGGAUUUUUUUUAUUAUUGAUUCAAAUAAAUGCACACAUUCGACACAUAUUCAUAACAAUUGCAUUAAACAACAAGACACUAAAUCACACAUUUAGAAAGUAUUAUAGGUUCAUCUCCAGGCAAAAUUAUUAGAUAUGUUCAUAGAUUUCAUUUGUUAGCAUUGAUCUUUUCAUAAAUCCCUUCCCGAAUGAACUAAAUGAGUACAACCUUAGCGUCCCAUAUGUGUGUGUGUGUGCCUAGAUGUGGAACUCCGGGGAAGGAAUGAGCAGGGCAAUUAAUGAUAAAAAGUGCUCAAGCACAUCAAUGUCUUCAACAAAGGUAUACUUCAGCAUCUCUUGCAUAUUCUCAUCCUUUCUUCACUAAUGUUCCGCGGCCAAGGCACCCAAAUAUUGGGCUAGGGACCUCAUCUACUUCCAAUAAAAUCAUACUAAUUUAUCUAUCUAUCCUACAUACCAUCCUAAUCUAUGUAGCUAGAUUCACCUUUUUUCCUUGCUCAUUGAUUUGCGCAAAUAAAGAAUGUACAAGUUAUUAGGCUUGUUUCAUCACAUGCAAAAAAUAGAGCACUUUAUAGUUACUCCCUCCGUCCCAAGUGUCAACAACACUCUUAUAUUAUGGGACGGAGGAAGUAGCUUACAAUUAUAAGAACUGCACCCUAAAAAACCAUGAACUGAACUCUGCAAAUGCCUCGCCUCAACGAUAUGGAGAGAUGUGUGGAGGAAGCAGAGAUGCUUGCCAAGGACAGUGGCACACAUGGGGCGGGGNNNNNNNNNNNNNNNNNNNNNNNNNNNNNNNNNNNNNNNNNNNNNNNNNNNNNNNNNNNNNNNNNNNNNNNNNNNNNNNNNNNNNNNNNNNNNNNNNNNNNNNNNNNNNNNNNNNNNNNNNNNNNNNNNNNNNNNNNNNNNNNNNNNNNNNNNNNNNNNNNNNNNNNNNNNNNNNNNNNNNNNNNNNNNNNNNNNNNNNNNNNNNNNNNNNNNNNNNNNNNNNNNNNNNNNNNNNNNNNNNNNNNNNNNNNNNNNNNNNNNNNNNNNNNNNNNNNNNNNNNNNNNNNNNNNNNNNNNNNNNNNNNNNGGUCACUAUGUGACCAGAUCGACCGUGGUGGUGGGGAGAGGAGUUGAUUCCAUCGUCUACACACAAAGGCUGUGAGAGGAGGGAAUAUGUGUGUAUUCCCAGCAUGGUGCGACACCAACGAUGGAGGUGGGGACCGCAACGUGUUUCACACACAUGUCUACAUUGUCGCGGGGAAGUGCUCGUGUCUUAGCCUCUGUCAUCGAAGUGGUGGUGCACAGAGAUAAAGGGGUGGGGUGGGAUGGUGGUGAAAUUGUCGCCAUGACUAGUGGGGAGGAGAGGAUAGUGUCCCAGAUGAGCUUUAAGAGGGGUGACAACCUUUUUAGCUGCUAAAAGCACUCUUUGGUCCAUGUGUGAGCUUACAAGGAGCCACCACUAAUGGGUAGGUCAACACAUUCGUAAGUGGUGAAAGGCUGGAUGCUAAUGAACACGGUGAAUCACCGGUAAGUGAUAACACACUAUUAAUACUGUAUUGACCAAAGGGUUGCUGAUCCUCCACUACGAUGGAUGACUCACCCACUGUCAAUGGAGACUUGAUGUGGCUCCUUGAAAGCACAAGUGCUCCCUAGGUGGUUUUGGUAAUUAAUGUCAACAUAUCUCUUGUUGGACUAACACUUUUAUCUAGUAUGUUUCAGAUAAGUUCAACAAUGGAGUGGCAUGGACUAAAGGAUGUGGGAACUCCUUAAUGAAUCUUUAGUAGUUGCGGAUGCUUGCUAGAGUUCCAAUCAUAGGUGCAUAUGAUCCAAGUAGAGAAAGUAUGUUAGCUUAUGCCUCUCCCUCAAAUAGAAUUGCAAUAACGAUUAUCGGUCUAGUAAUAUAGUCAGUUGCCUAGGGACAAUUUCACAACUCCUAUCACCACUUUUCCAUACUCGCUAUAUUUACUUUAGUUGCGUCUUUACCUUAACAGCCCCUAGUUUAUAUUUACGUGUUCUUUACUUUCUUGCAAACCUAUCCUAUCACACCUACCAAGUACUUCUAGUUUCAUACUUGUUCUAGGUAAAGUAAACAUUAAGCGUGCAUAGAGUUGUAUCGGUGGUCGAUAGAACUUUAGGGAAUAUUUGUUCUACCUUUAGCUCCUCGUUGGGUUCGACACUCUUACUUAUCGAAAACUUUUGCGAUCCCCUAUACUUGUGGGUUAUCACCUAUGCGUGUUACAUGUCCUUCCAAAGCUUUACUUGCUAUUCUCUAUAUCUUUAUCUAAAGCUUUGAUGUAUGUUGUCAUCAAUUACCAAAAAGGGGGAGAUUGAAAGCACAAGUGCUCCCUAGGUGGUUUUGGUAAUUAAUGUCAACAUAUCUCUUGUUGGACUAACACUUUUAUCUAGUAUGUUUCAGAUAAGUUCAACAAUGGAGUGGCAUGGACUAAACGAUGUGGGAACUCCUUCAAGAUGCUAAGGACAAAGGAUUGGCUCAAGCUUCAAGCUCAAGACUCUUAAUUUUCCAUUUUAGUGAUCCAAGAUCACAUUGAGUCUAUAGGAAAAGCUAAUACUAUCAAGGAGGGAUGAGGUGUUGCUUAAUGAGUUUCUUGCUCCACAGUGCUUAGUGAUAUGCUCCAAAACCCUCAACUACUUUCCCACUUCCACACAUAUGUCCUAAACCUAAAGUCAAACUCGGCCCCGCUGAUUCUUUCUAUCCGGCGCCACCGAGCUUUGAAUGUCAUAGCCACUGCCACAAACCCUAGGCAAAUCGGUCUUACCGAUAGGGAUCUCGGUCUCACCGAGAUGGGAUUGUAAUCUCUGUGUGUAUGUCCAUUACCAAAAUCGGUCUCACCGAGUUUGAGUAAUCGGUACUACCGAGAUUACAAUGCAAACUUCCUGGUUGACUCAUUACCAAAAUCGGUCUCACCGAGUUUGUGUAAUCGGUCCAACCGAGUUUGCCUGACCAACUCUCUGGAAAGCUUAUUACCAAAAUCGGUCUCAUCGAGUUUGUGUAAUCGAUCUUACCGAGAUUACGUUAUGCCCUAACCCUAAUCAUAUCGGUCUCACCGAUCUGCAUUUCGGUCCCACCGAAAAACCUAAUGGUCACAUUAUUUGCUAAAUCGGUCUGACCGAGUUUAACGAUUCGGUCCCACCGAGUUUGGUAGAUUGUGUGUAACGGUUAGAUUUUGUGUGGUGGCUAUAUAUACCCCUCCACCUCCUCUUCAUUCGUGGAGAGAGCCAUCAGACUGAACCUACACUUCCAGCAUACAUUUUCUGAGAGAGAACUACCUACUCAUGUGUUGAGACCAAGAUAUUCCAUUCCUACCAUCUGAAUCUUGAUCUCUAGCCUUCCCCAAGUUGCUUUCCACUCAAAUCUUCUUUCCACCAGAUCCAAAUCCUAUGAGAGAGAGUUGAGUGUUGGGGAGACUAUCAUUUGAAGCACAAGAGCAAGGAGUUCAUCAUCAACGCACCAUUUGUUACUUCUUGGAGAGUGAUGUCUCCUAGAUUGGCUAGGUGUCACUUGGGAGCCUCCGACAAGAUUGUGGAGUUGAACCAAGGAGUUUGUAAGGGCAAGGAGAUCGCCUACUUCGUGAAGAUCUACCGCUAGUGAGGUAAGUCCUUCAUGGGCGACGGCCAUGGUGGGAUAGACAAGGUUGCUUCUUCGUGGGCCAUUCGUGGGUGGAGCCCUCCGUGGACUUGCGCAACCGUUACCCUUCGUGGGUUGAAGUCUCCAUCAACGUGGAUGUACGAUAGCACCACCUAUCGGAACCACGCCAAAAACAUCCGUGUCUCCAAUUGCGUUUGAAUCCUCCAAAACCCUUCCCUUUACAUUCUUGCAAGUUGCAUGCUUUACUUUCCGCUGCUCAUAAACUCUUUGCAUGCUUGCUUGUUAUGUAUUGUGAAUGUUAAACUUGUGCCUAAACUCCACUUAAACUUAAGGGAACUUAAAAACUGCAACUUUGGUACUUAGUGUCUAAUCACCCCCCCUCUAGACACCUCUUCUCAAGGUCCUACAAGUGGUAUCAGAGCAUUGGUCUCCAUUGCCUUGGUUUAAUCACCAUUGGAGGAAGAUGGAUGAGUCUACUUUGGGGAAUCUUAGACAUAGAGUGCCUAUUCUUGAUGGAGAGUACUUUCAUGAGUGGAAAAUGAGAUGCUUGUAAUUUUCAAUCAAUAUCAUUUGAACAAGUACAUUGCUAGCCCUUGUGCACCUCAUGUUGACCCUAUGAAUCCUACCCAUGAUGAGUCUAUUGACAUGAUUAGGAAUCUUAGAACUGCCGAACUUAUCAUUAGAGGAUUGCCUAGAAACUUGAUUGGAUGUUUGUCUACUCUUAAGUGUGCCUACACUAUAUGGAAAUUUCUUGAGGAACGCUUUCCAAAUUAUUCCUUGAAAAAUCUUGAUGAAAUUCUUCAUAAGUCCAUUUCUUUGAGCAAGAUGAAUACUAGUGAUCCUAUGUUUGGUGAUCGUCUAUUUGAGCUUACAAACCUUAUGCGUGCCAAAGGAGAUGUUGGAAUUAUUAGUGAUAUUAUUUCCGAAGCUAUAAAAAUUCAUAAGCAAGAUCAAUGUCAAACUCACUCUAAUGAAUCACCUCUCUAGGACUUGAUCCACCACAUGACGAUGUUGAACAUGGAUACUAUGAUGAGGAUGAUGAUAGUGACUUCGAUCUUGAUGAUGAAAUGAGACAUUUUGGUCUUAUGGCAAAUCUUCGGGGAUAUAUGUCAGGAGGAAAGGAAUGGGUUCUUGAUAGUGGAUGUACCGAUCACAUGACCGGAGAUAAAGACAUGUUUCGUGAGCUUGCUGAAAAUGAUAGUCCUCGAAAGUAUGUCACUUUCGGUGACAACUCAAAGGGUAAGGUGGUUGGCCUUGGUAAGGUGGCCAUAUCACAUGAUAGCUCCAUACAAAAUGUCAUGCUCGUUGAAUCUCUUGGAUACAACUUACUUUCAGUAUCUAGACUUGCUGAUUUCGGUUUCAAUGUCCUAUUUACUGAAAUACAUUGCCAAGUGUUUCAUCGAGAUAAUCAUAAAAUGGUCUUUACCGGUGUGCGUAGAGGUGAUCUAUACAUUGUUGAUUUCACUAAAAAGGCUCAAUCUAAAACUUGCUUCAUUGCUAAAUCCUCAAAAGGUUGGUUAUGGCAUAGACGACUAGGUCAUGUUGGUAUGCGAAACCUUGACAAGCUUAUUAAAGGAAAUCAUAUUCUUGGUGUUAACGAUGUCAUAUUUGAUAAGGAUAGACUUUGCAGCGCUUGUCAUGCAGGUAAACAGGUUGGAGGAAGGCAUCCCGUGAAGAACAUCAUGACCACAAGGAGGCCACUCGAGCUACUUCACAUGGAUCUUUUUGGUCCCAACUCUUACAAGAGUUUCGGUGGAAAUUCUUUUGUUCUAGUUAUAGUUGAUGAUUUUUCCAGAUUUACGUAGGUGUUCUUUCUUGAUGAUAAAUUGCAGGUCCAAAAGAUCUUCAAAAACUUCGCUAGGAAGGCCGAAAAUCAAUUUGAAGUGAAGAUCAAGAAGGUUCGCAGCGACAACGGAACGGAGUUCAAGAACGCAAAUGUGGACACCUUUAUUGACGAAGAAGGGAUUUCACACGAGUUCUUGGCUACGUACACACCUCAACAAAACAGAGUUGUUGAGAGGAAGAACCGAACGCUCAUUGAAAUGGCGAGAACGAUGCUUGAUAAAUACAAGACACCGAAGCACUUUUGGGCAUAAGCGGUUGAGAUAGCUUGUCAUGCAACAAAUCGCUUGUAUCUUCACAAGCUACUCGGCAAGACGGCAUACGAGCUCCUCGCCGGUAACAAACCCCAAGUUGGAUACUUUCGAGUAUUCGGCUCAAAGUGCUACAUUCUUGAUAAGCAUCGUCGUUCUAAAUUUGCUCCUAAGUCUCAUGAAGGUUUCCUACUAGGUUAUGGCUCAAACUCUCACACUUACCAUGUCUACAACAAUUUCACCCGAAAGGUUGAAGAGACGGUAGAUUUGAAGUUUGAUGAAUCUAACGGCUCGCAAGUAGAGCAAUUGCCAAUUGAUGUAGAAGACAAAGAUCCUUCGGAAGCAAUCCAAGACUUGUCUAUUGGCAAGGUCCGUCCAACAGAGGUGAAGGAGAGUACCUCGUCCGUCCAAGUGGAAGCUUCUACUUCAUGACAAGGUGAACCAAGAGUUGAUACGGAAGCAUCCACAAGUGGGACACACCAAGGUGAAGAAAACGAGGAAGUGCACCAAGAUGAACGUAAACAACCUCCUUCUUCACCACGACAAGAGAACGACAACGCCAACAAUGAAGAAGGCCAAGAAGAAGAACAAGAUGAAGAAGAUGUUCAACUAAGACCCAAGAAAAAACUUUCACGAGUUCGAGCAAGAAUUGCUAAAGAUCAUCCCGUCGAGCAAAUCUACAAUGACAUUCAAACCGGGAGAAUCACUCGCUCUAAAACUCGUUUAGCUAACUUUUGUGAAAACUAUUCUUUCAUCUCUAGCAUUGAACCUAUGAAGGUUGAAGAAGCAUUGGAAGAUCCGGAUUGGAUAAAUGCAAUGCAUGAAGAGCUACACAACUUUGAGAGGAACCAAGUUUGGACAUUGGUUGAGAAGCUCGACAACAAUCACAACAUCAUCGGUACCAAAUGGGUGUUUCGCAACAAGCAAGAUGAAGAUGGACAAGUAGUUCGCAACAAAGCACGUCUCAUCGCCCAAGGCUACACACAAGUCGAAGGUAUGGACUAUAGUGAGACUUACGCUCCCGUUGCUAGACUUGAGUCCAUUCGCAUCUUACUUGCCUAUGCUAAUCAUCAUGAUAUCACCUUGUACCAAAUGGACAUUAAAAGUGCUUUUCUAAAUGGUGAAAUAGAGGAGGAAGUUUAUGUUAAGCAACCUCCCGGCUUUGUCAAUCCUAAGAAACCCAAUCAUGUUUACAAACUUCAUAAAGCCCUUUAUGGUCUUAAACAAGCCCCUAGAGCGUGGUAUAAAUGCUUGACCAAGUUUCUUAUUGAAAAAGGCUUUGAAAUUGGGAAAAUUGAUUCUACUCUUUUUACUAAAAGGGUCAAUGGAGAACUAUUUGUGUGCCAAAUCUAUGUUGAUGAUAUUAUAUUUGGUUCAACUAACCCUCAUUUUAGUGAAAAGUUUGGGAAGGUAAUGUCGGAGAAGUUUGAGAUAUCUAUGAUGAGUGAACUCAUAUUCUUUCUUGGGUUGCAAAUCAAGCAAACUAAGGAAGGUACCUUUGUUUCUCAAACAAAGUACACCAAGGACUUAUUCAAGAAGUUCAAUAUGCAAGAAUGCAAAGGUAUGUCUACACCCAUGCCUACUAGUGGACAUCUUGACUUGAACAAAGAUAGUGAACCGGUUGAUCAAAAUGUUUAUCGCUCUAUGAUUGGUUCAUUGUUAUAUCCAUGCGCUUCACAUCCCGAUAUCAUGCUAAGCGUGUGCAUGUGUGCACGAUAUCAAGCUGCUCCUAAAGAAUGCCAUCUUAAGGCCGUGAAAAGGAUAGUAAGAUACUUAAUCCAUACACCAAAUUUUGGCAUUUGGUAUCCUAAGAGGGCCUCUUUCGAUCUUGUUGGCUAUUCCGACUCGGACUAUGCCGGAGACAAGGUUGAUAGAAAGUCCACUUCGGGUACUUGUCAAUUUCUUGGUAGAUCUCUUGUGUCUUGGUCCUCCAAGAAACAAAACUCGGUAUCCUUAUCCACCGCCGGAGCGGAAUAUAUUGCCGCUGGUUCAUGUUGUGCUCAAUUACUUUGGAUGACCCAAACUCUUAAAGAUUAUGGGAUAUAUGUGAGACAUGUUCCAUUGCUUUGUGACAAUGAAAGUGCUAUCAAAAUUGGUCAUAAUCCUGUGCAACAUUCUCGAACUAAGCAUAUUGAAGUUCGUCAUCAUUUCAUUCGAGAUCAUGUUGCUAAGGGUGACAUUGAUCUUAAGCAUGUUCGCACCGAAAAGCAAUUAGCGGAUAUAUUCACUAAACCUCUUGAUGAGAAAAUGUUUUGCAGGUUGAGAGUAGAAUUGAACAUCAUUGAUGCUUCAAACUUGGAGUAGAAACUCCAUUGGAUACAUGCAAGACAUGAGCUUAUGACUAAUUCUUGAUAUUUCUCUUAUGAUGAAAAUCUUAUGUCUUGGAUAUAUUUGCAUCUUGCAUGUUAUCUAACCCAUGUAGGUACUUGGUGGAAUCAAAUUCCAUGAGAUUGUAAUCUACUCACAUCUUAAGCAAUCUCUACAUCGCCAAGUCUCUACACUAUGGUGGUUGAAGACAAGGAAGCACGGAACCACUCAAACAUAUCCUUUGACAAAUUCUAUGUUGAGCUUCAUGAUUGUCAUUUUUGGAUACACAAGUGCUCUUCCUUGCAAGAACUAACCCAUGUAGGUAGAUGGACUCAAAUUCCAAGUGGUGCUCCCAAUUCUUGAUGAGCUACAUCAACCUUGAGCAACCCACACAAGUUUGACUACAUGGACAACACCACCAACCAAGGUAUGUUAUUCCAUCUUAGAGAAGCUUUACUCCGAGACAUGAGUUAAAGCAACUCAACAAGAUGUGAAUACAUCAAGAUGCUUAAACGAAAAAUGGCAACCCCAUUUUGAGCUUAAACGAUGAGUAUAACCUAUGAUCAAGUGAUCUCACUUGACUCCUAAGUCAAUAUACUCUAAUAUAGGUGACUUUGUCGCCGACCAUCUCUAGAUGAAGUUCUCGUGUAUUCUUUUCUGCGUGUUUGCAUUUGUCUCAUGCAUAUUUGUUUCCCCUUUCAUCUUCAUCUAAGAUUUCUUUCUGUUUGCUCUGCAUUUUUUCUGCAUCAAAUUCAUUGCAUAUCUUUCAGUAAAUUCCUUGCAAAUCUUUGUGAGAUCAUACUAGUCUAGUGAGCUGAGGUGACAAGUGUUUUCUCUGCGAUGAACUCGGUUUCACCGAUUUGCUGUCUUCGGUCCAACCGCAUCCUUUCGGUACCACCGAAGCAUACCACUCGGUGCCACCGAUUUCACAUCAGGAAAAACAGUUUGCCACUUAUUCUAUGUUUCUUCUGAUCCAGCUCCACUCAAUGAAUCUUGUCCUCUACAAGCAUCACAUUUUUAUCAUUGCUUUGUGAUGUGUCUCCAGGACCAAACCCAUUCGACAGAUUCCAGAAAACCCUUCUUGGAAAUUGAUGUCAAAGGGGGAGAGAGAGAUCACAUCAAAGCUUAUCAUUUAGAGAGAGAUCACAUCAGAGAAAUAGUUCAUCACCUCCUCAAGGGGGAGAGAGAUCCUAAAGGGGGAGAGAGAUCCUCAGGGGGAGAGAGAGAUCUCCAGGGGGAGAGAAUACUUAAGCAGAAAGUAUUUCUCAAGGAUCCCAUAUGCUUGGUGUUCAAGAGGAGAGAUGCCCACAUGUCUUCUUGAGGGGAGAGACAUGUUCAUUUGAUCUUUUGUGCUUAUUUGCAUUAGCAUGCAUUAGCUCUGUUCAUCAUUCAUAUCUUUUAGCUCUGAUUUUCUAUUCCCUAUCUUCUCCCAGUAUCCCAUGCUAGAUUCAGGGGGAGCAAGAUAUCUAAGGGAAAGAAAUCAUUUAAAUUCUUUGCAUAUCUUUACUCUUGGGGACAUGUCUAAUCCAAUGUGGUAGUACUCACUCUCUACAUGUCAUCCCAGUCUUGGUAUUCUUGUAGUUUCUUUUGUUUGCUCUGGCUAGUAGGUGCAUCUGUGUUAUUUAACCUUGUUUACGCAGGUUCAUUCCAUCCUAAGCCAACUCAAGACUACAAGGUAAGUAUAUGCAUCACAAUCAUGUGUAUGAGCAAUUCUUGCUGAUGUAGAUACUGUUUGCAAGAAUGACUCAUGAGCAUGAAGGUAUUUUCUUUAAUAUUCUUUGCCCUGAUGCAUAUGGCCAAGAUACAUGUAACACAUUGCCUACUCUAUCAUGGUUAUGCUCUCACAUGCUUCUAUAUUCCAUAUUCACAUGAUUGCAUACAUGUAGGGGGAGCCUAUUGAUACGUCUCCGUCGUAUCUAUAAUUUUUGAUUGUUCCAUGCCAAUAUUAUUCACUUUCAUAUACUUUUUGGCAACUUUUUAUAUUAUUUUUGGGACUAACAUAUUGAUCCAGUGCCCAGUGCCAGUUCCUGUCUGUUGCAUGUUUUAUGUUUCGCAGAAUAUCCAUAUCAAACGGAAUCCAAACGGGAUAAAAACGGACGGAGCUUAUUUUUGGAAAAUAUGGAAAAUUCCAGAAGAAAAAUCCACGCGAGACGGUGCCCGAGGUGGUCACGAGGCAGGGGGGCGCGCCCUCCCCCCUGGGCGCGCGGCCUACCCUCGUGAGCCCACCGUAAGGCGGUUGAUGCUCUUCUUUUGCCGCAAGAAAGAUAAUAUUUGGAAAAAAAUCACGGAAAAGGUUUCAGGCCAAUCGGAGUUACGGAUCUCCAUAUAUACGCGAAACGGUGAAACAGAGCCAUAAGCCAACGCAGAGAACGCAGAAACAGAGAGAUAGAUCCAAUCUCGGAGGGGCUCUCGCCCCUCCCAAGCCAUGGGAGCCAAGGACCAGAGGGGAAACCCUUCUCCCAUCUAGGGAGAAGGUCAAGGAAGAAGAAUAAGAAGGGGGGCUCUCUCCCCCUUGCUUCCGGAGGCGCCGGAACGCUGCCGGGGGCCAUCAUCAUCACCGCGAUCUUCACCAACACCUCCGCCAUCUUCACCAACACCUCCAUCACCUUCCCCCUUCUAUCUACAGCGGUCCACUCUCCCGCAACCCGUUGUACCCUCUACUUGAACAUGGUGCUUUAUGCUUCAUAUUAUUUUCCAAUGAUGUGUUGCCAUCCUAUGAUGUCUGAGUAGAUUUAUAUUGUCCUAUCGGUGAUUGAUGAAUUGCUAUGAUUGGUUUGAGUUGCAUAUUUUAUUGGUGCUGUCCUAUUGUGCCCUCCGUGUCGCGCAAGCGUGAGGGAUUCCCACUAUAGGGUUUGCAAUGUAUUUAUGAUUUGCUUAUAGUGGGUUGCAUGAGUGACGGAAACACAAACCCGAGUAAGUAGGUUGUUUACGUAUGGGAUAAAGGGGACUUGAUGCUUUAAUGCUAUGGUUGGGUUUUACCUUAAUGAAUCUUUAGUAGUUGCGGAUGCUUGCUAGAGUUCCAAUCAUAAGUGCAUAUGAUCCAAGUAGAGAAAGUAUGUUAGCUUAUGCCUCUCCCUCAAAUAGAAUUGCAAUAACGAUUAUCGGUUUAGUAAUAUAGUCAGUUGCCUAGGGACAAUUCCACAACUCCUAUCACCACUUUUCCAUACUCGCUAUAUUUACUUUAGUUGUGUCUUUACCUUAACAGCCCCUAGUUUAUAUUUACGUGUUCUUUACUUUCUUGCAAACCUAUCCUAUCACACCUACCAAGUACUUCUAGUUUCAUACUUGUUCUAGGUAAAGUAAACAUUAAGCGUGUGUAGAGUUAUAUCGGUGGUCGAUAAAACUUUAGGGAAUAUUUGUUCUACCUUUAGCUCCUCAUUGGGUUCGACACUCUUACUUAUCGAAAACUGUUGCGAUCCCCUAUACUUGUGGGUUAUCAAGACCUUUUUCUGGCGCCGUUGCCGGGGAGCAAUAGAGUGGGGUGAAUAUUCUCGCGUGUGCUUGUUUGCUUUAUCACUAAGUAAUUUUUAUUUGCUGUUCUUAGUUGUUCUCUAUCUUUAGUUAUGGAUAUGGAACGCAAAAUACCAAAAAAAAUUAGAGGUACUUGCUACUCAUGUAGAUGGGGUAACUCCUACAACCCCCGACUCUCAUUAUGUGAGAAAUAUUAUGUACUACUUUGAUCAUCCUGAGAAAACCCCAUUCAACUUUAUAAUGGGAGACACAUUGGAUCAACGUGAAUACUUUAGGGAUUAUCGCUUAACACAAAAAGGGAAACUAUUAUGUGAUCAAAUUCAUUUAUUGAAGUGGUAUGCUUGGAAACUAUGCGUGGAAUAUGAUUAUACUUGUUGCUCUAGGAUGAAUUCUCCGCACCUUCCCUUUUCAUGCAAAUUUAAUGAUAAUAAAACCUUAGCUUCUUAUGCUAAUGGUAUAUAUGAUUACUAUGAUGUGAAACAAAUAGAAGAAUUUGUUGCUUUUAUGGGUGCUUAUGAAAUUGAAGCUAUGUGUAAAGAGUUUGAGGAUUGUGAUGAUGUUGUUAAUAGAUCUGAAAAUUUAGCUAUCCUCAAAUAUUGCUAUGAGAAUUAUAAAUACAAUUAUGCAAUUGAUGCACUUAUUGAGAAAGUCUCCGCUGUACAAGAAGAGACUAAUAUUUUGCAGGAAGCUAUGGAAGAAGAAAUUGAUGAAACUAUGAGCUCAUUAGAUGAAAAAGAUGAUGAGGAGAGCGAAGAAUAAGAGGAGGAAGAACAGAUUGAUCACCCGUGCCCACCUUCUAAUGAGAGUAACUCUUCAACUCAUACAUUGUUUAAUUCCCCUUCGUGCUUACCGAAGGAUGAUUGCUAUGAUGACUGUUAUGAUCCCGUUGAUUCUCUUGAAAUAUCCCUUUUUGAUGAUGCUUGCUAUGCUUAUGGCCAAGAUGCCAAUAUGAAUUAUGCUUAUGGAGAUGAACUUGCUAUAGUUCCUUAUAUUAAACAUGAAAUUGUUGCUAUUGCACCCACGCAUAAUAGUCCUAUUAUCUUUUUGAAUUCUCCCGACUACACUAUAUCGGAGAAGUUUGUGCUUAUUAAGGAUUAUAUUGAUGGGUUGCCUUUUACUACUACACAUGAUGAUUUUGAUGAAUAUAAUAUGCAUGUGCUUGCUGCUCCUACUUGCAAUUAUUAUGAGAGAGGAACUAUGUCUCGACCUCUCUAUGUUUCCAACACGAUAGAAUUGCAAGAAACUGUUUAUACUAUGCAUUGGCCUUUACUAUGUGUGCAUGAAUUGUUCUUUUAUGACAUGCCGAUGCAUAGGAAGAGAGUUAGACUUCGUCAUUGCAUGAUACAUGUUACUUUGUGCUCACUACUAAAUUACAAAUCAUUGUUAAUUAAAAUUGGCUUUGGUAUACCUUGGGAUCCGGGUGGAUUCACUACUUGAGCACUAUAUGCCUAGCUUAAUGGCUUUAAAGAAAGCGCUGCCAGGGAGACAACCCGGAAGUUUUAGAGAAUCAUUUAUUCUGUUGAAAGUGAAAGUGAGAAAGACAAGCAUUGUUGAAGUGGGAGCUAGCCUUGGACUUUGUUCAUGCUCACGGAAACUUUGUGAAUCUUGAUUAUAGAAACUUUUCAACAAAAAUAAUAUUCCCCUUGUAUAAUUCCAUUGUCUUAUAAAAAUAAUGUGCCAAGGUUUGCCUUUAGGAUGUUUACAAUGUUUGUUGGUUUGUGCGGUGCAGGACAGAAACUUUGGCUGUAGUGUGCGAUUUUACAUUUUUAACUGGAACGUCAAUUGGUUCUGAUUAUUUUUGCACUGUCUUGAUAUACAACUUCUUUAUUUUUCCUAAUUUUGGUAGAAUUUUUGGGGUACCAGAAGUAUGGUGGAUGUUCAGAUUGCUUCAUACUGUUCUGUUUUUGACAGAUUCUGUUUUUGAUGCAUAGUUUGCUUGUUUUGAUGAAUCUAUCAAUUUGUAUCAGUGAAUUAAGCCAUGAAAAAGUUAUAUUACAGUAGACACAAUGCAAAAACAAAAUAUGAAUUGGUUUGCAACAGUACUUAGAGUGGUAAUUUGCUUUAUUAUACUAACGGAUCUUACCGAGUUUUCUGUUGAAGUUUUGUGUGGAUGUAGUGUCUAAUCGAAGAUGUUUUGAUGUGAGAAGAAGGAAGAGAGGCAAGAGCUCAAGCUUGAGGAUGCCCGAGGCACCCCAAGUAAAUAUUCAAGAAGACUCAAGCAUCUAAGCUUGGGGAUGCUAGGGAGGCAUCCCCUCUUUCUUCAACAAGUAUCGGUAUGUUUUCGAAUUCGUUUCGUUCAUGCAUUAUGUGUAAGUCUUGGAGCAUCUUUUGCAAUUAGGUUUUUAUUUUUUCUUUUAUGCACCAUGCUGGUAUGAGAUAGUCCUUGGUUGAUUUAUAGAAUGCUCAUUGCAUUUCACUUAAAUCUUUUGAGUGUGGCUUUAUAGAAUGCUUCAUGUGCUUCACUUAUAUCAUUUGAAGUCUGGAUUGCCUGUUUCUCUUCAUAUAGACAACCGCCAUUUGUAGAAUGCUCUUUUGCUUCACUUAUACUUGUUAGAGCAAGCGUGGGCAUAUCUUUUGUAGAAAGAAUUAAACUCUCUUGCUUCACUUAUAUCUAUUUAGAGAGAUGACAAGAAUUUGUCAUUCACAUGGUUAGUCAUAAAAUCCUACAUAAACUUGUAGAUCGCUGAAUAUGAUAUGUUUGAUUCCUUGCAAUAGUUUUGCGAUAUAAAGAUGUGAUGUUAGAGUUAUGCUAGUGGGUGGUUGUGGAUUGUAGAGACACUUGUGUUGAAGUUUGCAAGUCCCGUAGCAUGCACGUAUCGUAACCGUUGUGUGACAAAUUUGAAGCAUGGGGUGUUUCUUUGAUUGUCUGACUUAUGAGUGGCAGUCGAGGACGAGCGAUGGUCUUUUCCUACCAAUCUAUCCCCCUAGGGGCAUGCGUAGUAGUACUUUGCUUCGAGGGCUAAUAAACUUUUGCAAUAAGUAUAUGAGUUCUUUAUGACUAAUAUUGAGUCCAUGGAUUAUACGCACUCUCACCCUUCCACCAUUGCUAGCCUCUCUUGUGCCGUGCAACUUUCGCCGGUACCAUACACCCACCAUAUACCUUCCACAAAACAGCCACCAUACCUACCUAUCAUGGCAUUUCCAUAGCCAUUCCGAGAUAUAUUGCCAUGCAACUUCCAUCAUCAUCAUAUACAUGACUUGAGCUUUUCAUUGUCAUAUUGCUUUGCAUGAUCGUAAGAUAGCUAGCAUGAUGUUUUCAUGGCUUGUCCGUUUUUUUGAUGUCAUUGCUAUGCUAGAUCAUUGCACAUCCCGGUACACCGUCGAAGGCAUUCAUAUAGAGUCAUAUCUUUGUUCGAGAUAUCGAGUUGUAAUAUUGAGUUGUAAGUAAAUAAAAGUGUGAUGAUCAUUAUUAUUAGAGCAUUGCCCCAGUGAGGAAAGGAUGAUGGAGACUAUGAUUCCCCCACAAGUCGGGAUGAGACUCCGGACGAAAAAAAUAUAAAAAAAAAUAAAAAAAAAGAGAAAGGCCAAAAAAAGAGAAGGCCAAAAAAAAGAAAAAAAAAGAAAAAAUGAGAGAAAAAGAGAGAAGGGGCAAUGUUACUAUCUUUUACCACACUUGUGCUUCAAAGUAGCACCAUGUUCUUCAUGUAGUGAGUCUCAUAUCUUGUGCUUCAAAGUAGCACCAUGUUCUUCAUAUAGAUUGUCUCCUAUGUUGUCACUUUCAUAUACUAGUGGGAAUUUUCAUUAUAGAACUUGGCUUGUAUAUACCAACGAUGGGCUUCCUCAAAUGCCCUAGGUCUUCAUGAGCAAGCAAGUUGGAUGCACACCCACUUAGUUUCUCUUGUUGAGCUUUCAUACACUUAUAGCUCUUAGUGCAUCCGUUGCAUGGCAAUCCCUACUCCUCGCAUUGACAUCAAUUGAUGGGCAUCUCCAUAGCCCGUUGAUUAGCCGCGUCGAUGUGAGACUUUCUCCUUUUUUGUCUUCUCCACAUAACCUCCAUCAUUAUAUUCUAUUCCACCUAUAGUGCUAUAUCCAUGGCUUGCGCUCAUAUAUUGCGUGAGGGUUGAAAAAGCUGCAGCGCGUUAAAAAGUAUGAGCCAAUUGCUCGGCUCGUCAUCGGGGUUGUGCAUGAUGGGAGCAUUUUGUGUGACAAAAAUGAAGCAUGGCCAAACUGUAUGAUUUUGUAGGGAUAAGCUUGCUUUUGCCUUGUUGUUUUGAAAAGACAUGAUUGCUUUAUUGGUACGCUCAAAGUAUUAUUGUUUUUAUGUCAAAUGAUAGACUAUUGCUUCGAAUCACUCGUGUCUUAAUAUUCAUGCCAUGAUUAGACAUAUGAUCAAGAUUAUGCUAGGUAGCAUUCCACAUCAAAAAUUAUUCUUUUUUAUCAUUUACCUACUCGAGGACGAGCAGGAAUUAAGCUUGGGGAUGCUGAUACGUCUCCGUCGUAUCUAUAAUUUUUGAUUGUUCCAUGCCAAUAUUAUUCACUUUCAUAUACUUUUUGGCAACUUUUUAUACUAUUUUUGGGACUAACAAAUUGAUCCAGUGCCCAGUGCCAGUUCCUGUCUGUUGCAUGUUUUAUGUUUCGCAGAAUAUCCAUAUCAAACGGAAUCCAAACGGGAUAAAUACGGACGGAGCUUAUUUUUGGAAAAUAUGGAAAAUUCCAGAAGAAAAAUCCACGCGAGACGGUGCCCGAGGUGGUCACGAGGCAGGGGGGCGCGCCCUCCCCCCUGGGCGCGCGGCCAACCCUCGUGAGUCCACCGUAAGGCGGUUGAUGCUCUUCUUUUGCCGCAAGAAAGAUAAUAUUCGGAAAAAAAAUCACGGAAAAGGUUUCAGGCCAAUCGGAGUUACGGAUCUCCAUAUAUAAGCGAAACGAUGAAACAGAGCCAGAAGCCAACACAGAGAAUGCAGAAACAAAGAGAUAGAUCCAAUCUCGGAGGGGCUCUCGCCCCUCCCAAGCCAUGGGAGCCAAGGACCAGAGGGGAAACCCUUCUCCCAUCUAGGGAGAAGGUCAAGGAAGAAGAAGAAGAAGGGGGGCUCUCUCCCCCUUGCUUCCGGAGGCGCCGGAACGCCGCCGGGGGCCAUCAUCAUCACCGCGAUCUUCACCAACACCUCCGCCAUCUUCACCAACACCUCCAUCACCUUCCCCCUUCUAUCUACAGCGGUUCACUCUCCCGCAACCCGCUGUACCCUCUACUUGAACAUGGUGCUUUAUGCUUCAUAUUAUUUUCCAAUGAUGUGUUGCCAUCCUAUGAUGUGUGAGUAGAUUUAUAUUGUCCUAUCGAUGAUUGAUGAAUUGCUAUGAUUGGUUUGAGUUGCAUAUUUUAUUGGUGCUGUCCUAUUGUGCCCUCCGUGUCGCGCAAGCGUGAGGGAUUCUUGCUGUAGGGUUUGCAAUAUGUUUAUGAUUUGCUUAUAGUGGGUUGCGUGAGUGACGGAAACACAAACCCGAGUAAGUAGGUUGUUUACGUAUGGGAUAAAGGGGACUUGAUGCUUUAAUGCUAUGGUUGGGUUUUACCUUAAUGAAUCUUUAGUAGUUGCGGAUGCUUGCUAGAGUUCCAAUCAUAAGUGCAUAUGAUCCAAGUAGAGAAAGUAUGUUAGCUUAUGCUUCUCCCUCAAAUAGAAUUGCAAUAACGAUUAUCGGUCUAGUAAUAUAGUCAGUUGCCUAGGGACAAUUCCACAACUCCUAUCACCACUUUUCCAUACUCGCUAUAUUUACUUUAGUUGUGUCUUUACCUUAACAGCCCCUAGUUUAUAUUUACGUGUUCUUUACUUUCUUGCAAACCUAUCCUAUCACACCUACCAAGUACUUCUAGUUUCAUACUUGUUCUAGGUAAAGUAAACAUUAAGCGUGCGUAGAGUUAUAUCGGUGGUCGAUAAAACUUUAGGGAAUAUUUGUUCUACCUUUAGCUCCUCGUUGGGUUCGACACUCUUACUUAUCGAAAACUGUUGCGAUCCCCUAUACUUGUGGGUUAUCACCUAUGCGUGUUACAUGUCCUUCCAAAGCUUUACUUGCUAUUCUCUAUAUCUUUACCUAAAGCUUUGAUGUAUGUUGUCAUCAAUUACCAAAAAGGGGGAGAUUGAAAGCACAAGUGCUCCAUAGGUGGUUUUGGUAAUUAAUGUCAACAUAUGUCUUGUUGGACUAACACUUUUAUCUAGUAUGUUUCAGAUAAGUUCAACAAUGGAGUGGCAUGGACUAAACGAUGUGGGAACUCCUUCAAGAUGCUAAGGACAAAGGAUUGGCUCAAGCUUCAAGCUCAAGACUCUUAAUUUUCCAUUUUAGUGAUCCAAGAUCACAUUGAGUCUAUAGGAAAAGCCAAUACUAUCAAGGAGGGAUGAUGUGUUGCUUAAUGAGUUUCUUGCUCCACAGUGCUUAGUGAUAUGCUCCAAAACCCUCAACUACUUUCCCACUUCCACGCAUAUGUCCUAAACCUAAAGUCAAACUCGGCCCCACUGAUUCUUUCUAUCCGGCGCCACCGAGCUUUGAAUAUCAUAGCCACUGCCACAAACCCUAGGCAAAUCGGUCUUAUCGAUAGGGAUCUCGGUCUCACCGAGAUGAGAUUGUAAUCUCUCUGUGUAUGUCCAUUACCAAAAUCGGUCUCACCGAGUUUGAGUAAUUGGUACUACCGAGAUUACAAUGCAAACUUCCUGGUUGACUCAUUACCAAAAUCGGUCUCACCGAGUUUGUGUAAUCGGUCCAACCGAGUUUGCCUGACCAACUCUCUGGAAAGCUUAUUACCAAAAUCGGUCUCACCGAGUUUGUGUAAUUGGUCUUACCAAGAUUACGUUAUGCCCUAACCCUAAUCAUAUCGGUCUCACCGAUCUGCAUUUCGGUCCCACCGAAAAACCUAAGGGUCACAUUAUUUGCUAAAUCGGUCUGACCGAGUUUAACGAUUCGGUCCCACCGAGUUUGGUAAUUGUGUGUAACGGUUAGAUUUUGUGUGGAGGCUAUAUAUACCCCUCCACCUCCUCUUCAUUCGUGGAGAGAGCCAUCAGACUGAACCUACACUUCCAUCAUACAUUUUCUGAGAGAGAACUACCUACUCAUGUGUUGAGACCAAGAUAUUCCAUUUCUACCAUAUGAAUCUUGAUCUCUAGCCUUCCCCAAGUUGCUUUCCACUCAAAUCUUUCUUUCCACCAGAUCCAAAUCCUAUGAGAGAGAGUUGAGUGUUGGGGAGACUAUCAUUUGAAGCACAAGAGCAAGGAGUUCAUCAUCAACACACCAUUUGUUACUUCUUGGAGAGUGGUGUCUCCUAGAUUGGCUAGGUGUCACUUGGGAGCCUCCGACAAGAUUGUGGAGUUGAACCAAGGAGUUUGUAAGGGUAAGGAGAUCGCCUACUUCGUGAAGAUCUACUGCUAGUGAGGCAAGUCCUUCGUGGGCGACGGCCAUGGUGGGAUAGACAAGGUUGCUUCUUCGUGGACCCUUCGUGGGUGGAGCCCUCCAUGGACUUGCGCAACCGUUACCCUUCGUGGGUUGAAGUCUUCAUCAACGUGGAUGUACGAUAGCACCACCUAUCGGAACCACGCCAAAAACAUCCGUGUCUCCAAUUGCAUUUGAAUCCUCCAAAACCCUUCCCUUUACAUUCUUGCAAGUUGCAUGCUUUACUUUCCGCUGCUCAUAAACUCUUUGCAUGCUUGCUUGUUAUGUAUUGUGAAUGUUAAACUUGUGCCUAAACUCCACUUAAAUUUAAGGGAACUUAAAAACUGCAACUUUGGUACUUAGUGUCUAAUCACCCCCCCUCUAGACACCUCUUCUCAAGGUCCUAUACUCCCACAAAGUUGUUACUACUGUCGGGCGAUUUGUCUCUCGUGUUUGUUUACAUGAACCUGAUGUUGGUCACUACUCAUGUAAACAAACACGGGGAUUCAGAUCUAAGAAAUCAUGGAAGAUUCACAACAAGCUGCCUACCUAAGCUUCCCCUAGUAGUUCCCGCAAAAAGAAGCCUCCCCUAGUUUGCACAUUUAUGUGCAAAAUUCCGCAUGUUUAGUUUGAAUUAGAAAAAUCUAGAAAAUGUUCCUUUUGGAUGCUAUGUCAUUUCUAAAAGGGAUCAAAUCAAAAUAAAAUAAAUAAGUUAGUGAGCUUCAAGGCCACAAACAUAGGUAAAGAUACAAUGUCGACUAGUUGGAUAGGAGGGGACUAAGGUCAAUCCCUGUGCGACUAAAUCGGGUGCAGUGCUAGGGAAAGGAGAAGACACCAGCAUGCUCCUUGUGCGGCGAUGGGAAGAGGAGACACGAGUGUGCUCGCCGCUUGGCAAGAUCCACACAUGGAGGCCGGGAGAGGAGGGGAUAGGCCGUGUUCCCCAAGUAGCUACUGAUGGACGAUUUAUAUCUUGUGUUUGUUUAUCGAGUCAUUUUGGAUUUAAGGGAUCAUGAACAACUCACAGCGAGCUGCCUGAUGUGCAAUUCCACAUGUUUAGUACGAAGAGAAAUCUAGAAAACGUUCCUUUUGGAUGUUGUGUCAUUUCUAAAAGGAAUCCAAUCCAACAAUGAAUACACAGGUUGGUGGGUAUCAAGGCCACAAAUAUAGGUAAAGAUAUGAUGCCGACUAGUCCUGUUCAGGCAUGAUGAGUUGAUGGCACACCGAAGACAGUACUCGCUGUCAAGGCGUUUUUAUUUUGUAAUGCCGGAUGAAUUAAACGGAACACGUGAUUAACCGCAUGAAACACAUGGCUGGGCGCUGUUUUGUCUUGAUUGCUCUGCUCGUAUCGCCAGAUCCCAACACCGGAGACAUGGCUGGGCAGGUUGAAGCCAAGCUCUGUAAGUUACGGAGUAUCUGAAGCUUGUGUGUCAGUUCAUUACAGCUACUUAGCUCGCCCACAUCACUACUGGUUUAUUUCCUGUGUGGAAGUUAGGCCUGGCGUUUGGCUGCACUGCAUACCGUGGAUGUCACCGCAUUCAUGUCUGCAACGGCGCCAAACUUUCCUGUGUGCAAGCAUUUGGAACUACUCUGCCAUGGCAGGGAGUACUAUACGUAAGCACUGCUGGUAAACAUAAGGUGAUCGACCGGUUGGUGGAGCCAUGCAGGGGAAAUCAGCAGGAAAGGUUACAUUAUUGUUCUCAUCGUGAAGUCACUCACAGUCACAGUACAUGGGCCCCACCCAACUAACCACUAAUUCCAACUGGCACUGAUUCAAGGUGUUAAGAGAUGGCAUUAUAAAAUAUCCUAGAAGGGACCUUUCAGUUUGUUUGUAACACUGUAGCAGCACGGUAUCUCACUGUUGCACGUGUAUGGUACUCCCUCCGUUCUGAUUUACUAAAACCACGACGAGUAAAUCGGAACGGAAGGAGUAUAUACGUCGGUACGAGUGCGGCGUAUGUACGUGCUGGUCCUUGAACUGGUAGCGACUCACAGACGAAUGUGGCCUCAUGUCAGGUCCUCUAGAGGUCAAAAGUACGCUAUAUGCAAACCACAAGUCCCGGUCAGGUAGAUUACGUAGCCUGAACUGCAUUGCAGGAUCUAGCGUUUAUUCCAUAUAUAUAGUACAGUAUUAAUCAAAUUAAACAAGAAAACAAAUCCAUUCAGACUUUUCCUCCCACGUGGUAACUAUAAGUUCGCAGUGGCUAACAACAAUAGUACAAGGCUUCACUACUCUACGAUAAAUGAGAAUUUUCAAAUAAUAUAAUUAGCUGACCAUCAACAACACAAUUCAAACACUAUCAGCAUAUAUCAUGGCUAACAGAGUUCAGAGUUGUAUAAGCUAUACUGUAUUUGAGUUUAAGGGUGCAUUUAGCAGAAAAAUUAUUGGGAAAAUAUGAUUGAGAUUGUUGUUUAAUUAGACAAUGCACAACACGGAUAUCCAGCGGCACAGUCCCUGUUAACUCCCUCGUUCCACUGUGUGUUCAAAAUCCGCCUGUAAAGUUCCCAGGCUUCAAACUGCUAGCAGAGUGGCAGAUACUUGGAACGAAGGGAGUAUCAGAUUUGAAUACAAGCAAACAGCAAAUGCAUAUUAAUAACCAAAACUACUGGGAAUAGAUGGAACAGAACAACCUUGACGUCAGCAAAAGGCAAAAAUAAAUCCAAGCUCGUUAAUUCACAAUGGCAUGCCAUUAGUACGAACGUGAUAGGCAUGAUGAUAUACUAUGCCCUCAUGGAGGAGAUUUGGCUCGAGACCGAUCAAUGAAAGAUGGCCGGCGCCAACGCAGUGAGGAGUCUGCCUCUGCACACGAGCCCCCCCUGACCUGCAGCUAUAGUUGUAGGAGUAUAUAAGUAUUGCCCUGGUUUUGCUUUCUUCUUUUUGGUUUUUUGAUACAAUAGUUUUUUGGGGUUCUGUUGGUAUACGACUUUGGUUGGCUGCCUUUUCAGUUGGUUUGUUUGGUGUUAUUUUGUGAACUUCUGUACCUUCUCACCAUUCUUCUCAUACAUCUAAUACAAAACGGCAUGCAUGUUGAUACGUGUUUGUUAUGGCGCUGCUAGAAGGAGGGCGCAAGAGGGCCGGCCGGGGGCCUUUUUGCCCACGGCCAGGCAAGAGGAAAGGGAUUUCCUUCUUAAUUCUUACUUAAUUAGAUUGAUACAUCUCCUCUCUUUAUAUAGAGAGGUUUACUUGACUCCCAAGCAAGGCUUACUUGACCUCUAAGCAAGCGACCCUUAUCUCUAAUUAACCCUAAGACUAACAGGCUCAUUAGGCCCAUUACGUACUCUAACACUACACCUCACCUGGACAUGCAGCUUGUCCUCGAGCUGCAACCUAACCAACUUAUAACCAUGACACGACGCAACACAAACCUAACACCUAAAAAUAAGCCUUUUACACCUCGGCUUGCUUUAUUAUUCUCAACCUGAAAUGGACUGUGACGCUUUAUUUUGGACCCCUUAACCAAAAGUGGACACCAUCCGCACGUCGGACGUGCACGUGUACAACCACCUGAAUCCCAUGGACACCACCUGGACAAAAGGAGUGCAUGUGUAUGACCACCUGGAAGUGGUCGCAAGAGUGACCAGCAGAGGCGCCCUUGCGGUGGCCGGUGGCGGAAUGCAGUGGUGCUACACGGUGCGCUGCUGUCGGUGACACCAUGCCUUCUCCCUGCCGGACGACUGUUGGUCUGCACCGCACAGGGAAGAGUGGAGGGCUUGCGAUGGAGAAUGACGAGGAGGGGUGCCCCCCUCCCCCCAACCGCCGAUAUCGCAGACUUUGAGGUCGUUGCCCGCGGGGAAAACAGUAGGCCCGCCGCCCUUGGGGGAAACCGCAUGCCCAAGAUCCCCGACGCAGCGGAUGAGAUCGAGGUUCUUUGCGUAGUGAAGGGCAACUUGGAGGAGCGGCAGCCGCAGACCACGCAUCUCCCGCAUACGCCGACGCGCUAGGAGGCCGCGCGCAGCAGCCUGCAGCCUCACCACCGCCGACACGUGGCGGGCAGCGAUCCAAGACAAAAGCGGUGACAGCGACGGCGGGGACUGGACUUGGUGGAGCGGGACUCCCGCCGGCGCGGUCGAUGCGGGGUCGGAGCUGACCGACGAUGGUUGCUGCAGCUGCAGUGGCUGCUGCGGCUGAGCACCGGGCGCGGCGGAGGCCGCCAGGAGCGGCGGCUGCCACUGCAGCCAGGGUUGGGCGGUGGUGGCGAUGGAUGGCAGCUGUAGCGGCUGCUGCAGUGGCCCGGCGAGCGCGGCGAAGGCCGCCUGGUGCGGCGGCUGCCACAGCAGGCAAGGCGGCGCGGGGGCGGCUAUGGGCGUUGGAGGCGCGGCGGGAGCCGGCNNNNNNNNNNNNNNNNNNNNNNNNNNNNNNNNNNNNNNNNNNNNNNNNNNNNNNNNNNNNNNNNNNNNNNNNNNNNNNNNNNNNNNNNNNNNNNNNNNNNNNNNNNNNNNNNNNNNNNNNNNNNNNNNNNNNNNNNNNNNNNNNNNNNNNNNNNNNNNNNNNNNNNNNNNNNNNNNNNNNNNNNNNNNNNNNNNNNNNNNNNNNNNNNNNNNNNNNNNNNNNNNNNNNNNNNNNNNNNNNNNNNNNNNNNNNNNNNNNNNNNNNNNNNNNNNNNNNNNNNNNNNNNNNNNNNNNNNNNNNNNNNNNNNNNNNNNNNNNNNNNNNNNNNNNNNNNNNNNNNNNNNNNNNNNNNNNNNNNNNNNNNNNNNNNNNNNNNNNNNNNNNNNNNNNNNNNNNNNNNNNNNNNNNNNNNNNNNNNNNNNNNNNNNNNNNNNNNNNNNNGUAGAUGGGGCUGCAGCGUCCCAACGAACGCCGCGAAGGCCCCUGGAUGCGGCGAGUACCACGGCAGGGCCGGCGGCCCGGUGGCGGCGGUCGGCGGCAGGUGCGCCGGCGGCCCGUAGGGGCUGGCCAGGUACAGCCGGAUCCCCUGGACGGCUAUGACGAGAUCGUUGAGGACUCCGGUGAUCUCCGAGGUGUAGGCGGCGGCCGGUGGUGCGGUGGAGGGCGCCGACAUCUGGGCGGUGGCGGCGCCGGAGGAUGCGACCAGCGGCGAGGUGUAAAUGGCCAGCGGCGCGGUGGUGACGGUCGGUAGCGGAAGCGACGGGGUGGGCGGCGGCGAAGAGAUGAUCGGAACUGAGCUACCUGAUACCAAAUUGUUAUGGCGCUGCUAGAAGGAGGGCGCGAGAGGGCCAGCAGGGGCCUUUUUGCCCACGGCCAGGCAAGAGGAAAGGGAUUUCCUUUUUAAUUCUUGCUUAAUUAGAUUGAUACAUCUCCUCUCUUUAUAUAGAGAGGUUUACUUGACUCCCAAGCAAGACUUACUUGACCCCUAAGCAAGCGACCCUUAUCUCUAAUUAACCCUAAGACUAACGGGCCCAUUAGGCCCAUUACGUACUCUAACAGUGUUCAAGAAAAAAGAUUGAUGUCAUACAAUGCUAGAAGUGCACAAAACACAACAGUUAUGUUUCUGAGAAUGGUGCACAAAUCUCAAUUAACCACUUGUCAUCUUAUCUGUAAUUCUAGCGUACAUCAGUCAUAUAGGAGGGACAGAACAAAAGCACCAAUUAACAAAGUUAUCCUUCAGCAACAAGGAAAAAUAAAUUGGGCGUCUCCAUAGCAAAUCUAAUUAAUGGAAUCAAAGUUAAAAAUAGUGGUAGUUCCAAAUGCUUCCACAACUAAUUUACUGACUGGAUCACUUUCCUAGGUUCCUGACAAAAUAUUUCCCACAGUAGCUUUGCAUUUCAAAUAUCUAGCUGAACUCAUGGAUGAAACGGAAACAAUGCUUCUACUUUCCUAAAUUUGCUUCAACUUGUUCCUUUUCCCUUUUCCCUUUCCGGCGUAACGAGUCUUUCAAGUUCAACCAAGACAACUUAUAUCCAAUUAUUAUUUUGGGGCUGCCUGUCAAUACCUAUUACAUCACAGUGUUAUGUUACCCUACAGCUUAAGUCCAGUGGAUUUUGCAUGGCCUUAUAGGCAUAAAACCGUGUCUGGAAAUGUUGUUAUCAGACAUUAUCAUGACAGAUUUACACCACGAAUUUGUCAGCACCGUAGUUCAGAUUAUGAGCAUGACACUCAGGUUUGUAAGUGCAAUGUGACUUUUUAAUAAAUUCCUCAGCUUUCCUAACAAGGUCAAGGUCAUACCUGAAGAGGUUCUCAUGUGGAAUGAUCAUAAGUAUUGUCUUGACAAGAUGAUCCGAGAGGUAACAUGUAACUUGUGAGAUAUCACUAGAGGGUCCUGAAGUUUGUUAUCAUCGAAGGCUCAUGUGUCGACCUGUAUAUACGGUUAUGUACAUAAUGGUAGCAACACAAAACGUAUUCUUAGAGACGUGGACAUGUUUGCUAACAGGGCACCAGGCACACACAUGUUGAAGUAUUUCCGCCAUGCAAAAUUCAGAGACAUGGAUGACAUGUCUGCAGAAACGUGGUCAUUUCAGGAUGUCAUGUAAGUAGUUUGGAGGUGAGGGAUAUCUACUGGACUCAUCCAGCAGCCUCAUGCUUUGCAAGGAUAACACUAGUCAAGAACAGGUGUUUGGCCUUCAGAAGGGAAGAGGAAAACAAACAUAGUGCGUUGCGCAAGCAGUUGCCUAUGGCAGAUGUUGUAGGUCAUUAGUCUUUAAUUACGGAAUUCUUUCCUAUGCAUGGACGAAGGACCUGAAAUAAAGGGAAUAUCACAAUUUGGUGAAGGUAGACAAUCUACCAUGCAACAAAGUUAUGUUUUGAACUGGAAACUGUUCACAUGGAUCCUACAAUGGCAACAACACUAGUGACAAAAGCCUUGCAACCAUCUAAAAGUUAUCACUUAGCAAAAACAGUACUCCAAGUCAACAGAACAGACACAAGGCACACAAUUCUAUUACAAUCACAGUUAAAGCUGCAAUGUCAUUAAACAGCAGGGUUAAUCUUUCUGCUCAGGAACUACUUGACAAGAUAAGGUAGCUUAACCUUUUUCCCGAAGAGAUAAGAUAGCUUAACAUGAUGCGUUGUAUGCAGAGUCACCAAACUGGAGCAGCUUUAAUUGUGUAGGUGAACUGUUGGAUCUGAAGCAUUCUGCAUCGGUGGAGGAAAGAAUGGAGCGGCUGUAGUUUCUUGGUCAGGACUCAC
rnacentral:lncRNA from 1 species